rnacentral:lncRNA from 1 species
UAGAUUUAAAUGAUUUUUCUAGGUGAAUUAUAUCAAUGUAUAUAUAUAUUUCAUGUGGUGAUUUUAACAGUGCAAAAAUUAUAAACUCCAAGAUUGAAACGUUUCGUUAGCUCCCUAAUUUGCGUUUGUGUUAAUCUUCUUAUGUUGUGAAAUUUACAAUUAACUACAACUUUAAACUUAAAAAAAAAAAAAAAAAAAUUAUGACUCAUUUAAUUUCUCUUGUUAAUAUGUGAAUUAAAGACACAUCUUUACACCCACCCUCCAAAAAAAAAAAUGAACACUUUCACAAUAAUUUCAAGUGUACAAAAUCAUAAAAGAAUGUUAAAAAGAAAAAUAAAAAAAACUCAAAGAAUAUUUUUCUAAAAAAGAUGAAAAAUAAAUAAAUAUAAAAGUAUGUUUAACAAAGACAUGAUAUAAUAUUAAUGUUUAACAAAGACAUAUAGUAAUAAAUUAUGAAAUAGUUGCGUAUAGUGAUUGGUGAGUGAAUGAAAUGGCUCGAUCAUAUGGAUAUAUAUGAUCAUCAUUAUAUCAUAUCAAAAUGUAAUUAACCUUUUAGUUUUGACUAUUCGGCCUCUUCCUUUAGCUUCCUUACGGUUUUCCUCGAAAUUUGAAGGAAACUUUCUCCUUAUUAUAAAACAAAAAGAACAAAUUAUUUCUUUUUAACGCCAAUUUCUUCUAAUAUCCAUCUAGAAAUAGAGAAUAGUAAAAGAUAACUUAUAAUUCUUAGCAAAACAAUUAGUAAAACCAAUUUCUUUUCCAUAUAUAAAGCCAUCUAUAAAACUAUAUAUAUCAUAUGUGACCGUAGAUAUAAAUGUCAAUUGUGCAAAGGCACCAGGGACUGAUCAUAUAUCCGCACUAGUCACUACUAUGUCUACAUGGUUGAUUUAAUCAGACGAAAUUAAUUAGGUGACAUGCUACUAAUACUAAUCUUCGAGUUUUAAGACAUGAAAGAGACCAAAUUAAAAAGGAUAAUAAUGGUGGGGAUUUGCUUGGCUGCAGUGCAACCAUAUCUGGAUUGGGAAAUCACACUUUGUAUCAUCAUCAGCUCAACAACACUCGGACAAGCUUAGCCAAGCUUAGUUCAGUGUUCUAAACAACAAUUUAUUUUGCUAUAUGGCAGGAGAGAAACGAACAAAGACAUGGAACAACUCAAUGUUUGGUUAGCAACUCAAUGUUUGGUUAGCCAUCUGACGAUGGCUAAAUUUGAUGAAACAAUUCGAUAUAUAGUCUGUGGUAUCACUACGUUAUCAAGACUCACCAAGAUUGAGACACCUUCUCCAACGAUGGUUUCAAAAUUAGGAAUCCAAUAAUUUUUUUUUUUUUUGAAUUAAUUCUAUUUUCUUAAUGACUUUUUGGCAUUGUACAUAUACAUUUUAUCUUAACACUUUACAAAUAAAAUAAUUACAAAGGUAUCUAUCAAAACAUUUAUCCUUUUGUGUGCUUGUGAUUAUGUUCUUAGGUUGUAAAAUUAAUUUACAACCUAACUAAUUAAACUAUAUAUAUAGACUUAUACAUGUUCUUAUGCUAUGCAGUUAAAAGACACAAGCACACCCACCCUCCAAAUAGAAAAAAUGUAUGAAAAAAACAGAAACACAAACAAAGUUAUAUAGUAUUACUUUUUAUGUUUCACAAAUAGUGUCACUUUGACACAUUUCACACAAAUUAAAACAAAAAAAUAUAUACAUACAUGUCCCUAUUUAAUAAAUGUUUAAUAAUUUACUUAGUUUUAAAUUAAGGAUGAAAUUAGAAAAUUUAGUAUUACAAAUGUAAAAUGACACUCUUUGUAAAGCAAAAUUAAAUCUUUAAAAUAAUGUUUUUUGUGAAACAUAAAGAGUAAAAUAUAUGAAAGAGUUGCGUAUAGUGAUUGGUUAAUGAAAUGGCUCAAACUUAAUUAGAUAACGAUCAUCAUCAUAUAUCAAUCAACAUUUAGUUUGACUAUUUGGCCUCUCUUAGUUUCCUUAGGUUUUCCUCGAAUUUGUAAAGGAAACUUUCUCUUUAAUAUAAAACCAACAAAGUAUUUAUUUUCAUAGCCAUCUAGAAAACAUAUCUCUCAUAUGUGACCGCCGAUAUAUGUCAAAUUGUCAACUGUGCAGAGGGACUGAUCAUGUCCGCACUACUCUAUGGUACACUUCUAUCUAUCUAGCUGAUUAGUUAUACUAUUGUAUACUUCAUGAUUAUCAUAAUGAUUAGUUAAAAUGAAGCUGAUUAGUUAUAGUAUUGUAUACUUCAUGAUUAUCAUAAUGAUUAUUUUGAAUGAAGCUGAUUCAUAUUAAGUAGGUGACAUGCUACUACUAAUCUGGAGUUUUAAAAACAUACCAAAAAGAACAAAAUAGGCUAACGACAACCCAACCCUAAAGCUAGUAUACAUAGUUCGAUACAUUAAAAAACUAAAGAUGGUUGUUAUAAACGGUUUUACAAAUUGUUAACCCAAGGAUUAAUUCUUAUAAAAAAAAAAUCAUAUUAACGUUUGUGUAUCUUUGAUUUAAAAUAUGUUUGUAUUAUUCAAUUACCUUGUUAUCCUAUCUAGUUACAAUUUGUAAAAUUGAGCCAUGCAUGCAUAUAUAUUAUAUCAAAUGAAUCAAUUGAUAAAAGACAAAAUAAAGGAAUGUGUGUUGCUAAGUUCAUGAACCAGAAUCAGAAUUUCGAAGAUUAGCCCUCUCUUCCAACCGGUCAGUCAAGAAAAAAGAAAUCUUAAAUACCGUGAAACCUCUAUAAAUUAAUAAUAUUAAGAUUAUAGAAUUUAUAAAUAUAUUAAUUUAUUGAUUAAUUAAUUUACAAAGAGAUUUUUUCUAAUCCUAUAAUUUCGUUUUAAAUUUUUCUAUUUGACAAUACAAAGGUUUUAUAUUCCAAAAUUUUCAAGAAUUUUUAUUUAUCUAGAAUUAAUUCUAGGUUAUAAUUAUAAUCGACAUAUUGUUGACGAUAAUAUUGGAUGCUCUUAGAACUAGUUACACGUAAAGAACCAACUGUCACGUCUAAAGUCUUUCAUAAUUUUUUGGAUGUAAUUCGAGAAAACAACACUAGAAGUCCAAAAGUUUGAAUGCAAACUCAAUAACAAGCCUAAUUCGAGAUCAGUAGCAAAAAUAUUUAUUUUAUCAAGUAUUACUUUAUAUAGUGCUAUAUUUUUACAAAAUCGAAGAAAAGGUUUCAAACCCUUAAAAUAUUUUUUUCUAACUGAAAAGUGAAAACUUACCCCAAAUAUAGUACUUCUUCUCUUAAGUUAUAACUUGAAUUAUAUAAUUUUAUUUAUUUUUGGUUAUAACGGUUAACAAAAACAUGUUAUUUUUAAUUUCUAUACAUACUGGGCCAAAAAAAAAAUCGACGUGUAGACUUCUUCUUGUUGAAAUAUACAUAUACACUAAUAUACCAAUUUAUUACAUACAUAUAUAAAGAAUAUAUUUGUCGUUUCAGUUUGUGUCGUUUUAUUUGGUUAUAGACAUUGUCCAUCAGCAUAAACGCGUCGAUGUAGAAAAAUAAAACAUGUUACAAUUAUUAUUCUCCGAUCUUGAAAAACAUUGAAAUGUUUAUGUUGAAUGUUUUUUUUUUUGUAAUUGUUAAAUAUUCAUGUUGAGUGUAAUUGUAUAUUUAAUCAUAAAUUAAUAACUGAAAAAACGCGUUACGGCAUUACCAAAUAAGCGUUGCUUUUUUGAGGUAGUCGUUGACGAGCUCAAGCCAUGUCAACGCUUAUGUCAACGCCCUCAUUUGUCUUGUUUUAUAAAAUUUCCAAAAUGUAAAAUAUUUUUCAAUAUUCUUUAGUUCAGGUAAAAGAGUUUUACUUCUCUAUAGUUUUUGUAGUUUUUACUUGUUCAUUUUUGUUUCUUCUAUAUUUUAGAUGUUACGAACGAAACUUUUGUAACCAAUAUCAUAAAUUGGUUUUAUCUCUUAUAUACUAUAUCGAUUUGAAUCAAAUCACUACGAGAAAACAAAUCGAUUUGCGAAGAAUAAUUGAGAGGGAACAAAUCGAUUGUAUUCUUGUGAUUAAUCAUGCAUGAGUACAAUUUGGUCAUGCAACGGUAGAACAAUAAGCUAGAUGAGUUGAGUAUUAUCUUGGAUCUAGUUAAUGAUUGAUAAACUGACAAAAGCAUUUUCAUAAAAGUAAUGAUAAUUCUAAAACGCGUAGAUUGUAUAACAUUUAAUUUCGAUUCAAUUCUUGUAACAUUAAUGCUGCUGGCUCUAUAUCUGACCACAAACUGAACAAGUGAGACAGUUCGGUGUUUUUCUUAAAAUUAGCAUAAUCAAUGAUCGAGAUCAUUUAAUAUCUUAAAAUUAGCAAAAACGUUUGAGAAGUGAUAUUUUUGUGUAAGUCUAUGAAUCUCAAUGGUUAUGGUGGUUGGGGGUCUACAAACCCGUUGAUGGUUUAGUUUAUUUUAUUUUUAUAUUAGAAUGGUUAUGACGGUUAAAUUCAUCAAUGAUUUAAUUUAUUUUAUUUUUAAGACGGAUAUUAAAUGGAUGCAAAACAAUUAUUUUUGUACGUAAAAGUAGUUUGUAACUGGUCUGCAACAAUUUUCUUUUGUUUUUUAGAGUCGCACCACUACAGAUGGUGAUUGGUAAAUAAAAAGCAAUUUGGUCUUUAGAUGGUUAUGUCCACCCAAACUGAUGUAACUAUAGGUUCGAAUUGUUAUGACGGUUGGGAUAAACAAAUAUAUUAACAAUUUAGUUUACUUUAUUUUAGGACGGAUAACAAACAACCGCAAAUCAACUAUAUUUGUAUGUAAUCAUGAUGUGUAAUUAAUCUGCAACCAUUAUAAAUAAAAUUUGUGAAUAUAAUAAAAUAAAAAAUGGUUCAAUCGACAAACGGAUGUGUCUAUUACAACUAUUCGAACCCUAUAUCCUAAUUCAAGAUAGUUACAAUAAGUAGGAUAAAAAAAAAAUAGUAAAUAAAAUUAGAAAUGAAAACGGUAUAACCUAAAUACCAUAACUAUACGGAAUUACUAAUCCAAUUUUUAUACAAUUUCUUAAGUUGCAAAACAAAACUAAUAAAAACUGUACAUACUCGAUCCCACUAAUUGUAGUAUUAUACAAUUUCUUAAUUUACAAUUUCUUAAGUUGCAAAAUAAAACAUAAAAUUAAAAAUACUCGUUGCCACUAAACCUAUAUUGUAUCCGACUUUUUCCAAUACGAGAGGAAGCUGAAGUAAAUAAAUACAGGUUUAAUUAGUGGGAUCGAGUAUAUAUACUUUAUUCUACAUUGUUAGUUGUACGAAAUGAUCCAAACACAUGAAUUAAAUAACGAAUCAUAUAAGACACUAGCUAGUACACAAGUACUCUUAAUUUUGUCCAAAAAGCACAAGUGUCUUUUUUUCUUAAUUUUAAUUAAUUAACUAAAUAACUAACUCUAACGUGGUUAAUGAAUAGAGAACACUUUGUAAAACAACGAAUCUUCCUGGAAACUACGAAGCUACUUCGUCAAUACUCUCAUGCCUUUAUAUACAUUUCAUCAUUCACUCCUUCUUAACCUCAUCUUUCUCUUUAUCUCUCUAUCUCUCUCUCUCUCUCUCUACACCCACACACAAAGAGUUCAAAGACGACUUAUAAAGUUCCAAAAAGUCUUUGAAUCUGAAAUAUCCAAAUGAAGAUUCGAAACAACCCUAUGUUCCAUGGUGGUGGUGGUUACACUGGCUUAAGAGCUCGUAACUUAACAUUCAAGAAGUGAGCAUAGUUCUUACCCGAACAUAACCCUUAUUUGUUUUCGGACAAGGUUUCUAAUUUUUUCUCAUUGUUAAACCACAGAGUUGUGAAGCAAGUGAUGAGAGAUCAGUCACAGAAUCAUUUCAUGAUUCAUAUGGAGAACAUGAUGAGAAGAAUUGUAAGUUUUUUCCUUCUAAUCCUAUAUGUCUAAUCAACAAAAAAUUCUAUACAUGCUUAAUUAAACCAUCUAAUUAGCAAACGGAUUAGUUAAACCACAACAUGUUCCUAAUUAUAUAUAUAGGCUAUGUAAGCCACCAAGUUUGACCGACUACUUCUCUUCUGUCUUUGUUUUAUAUAUUUGUGGGUUCCUCAAUCAACAAUGGUCCCUAGCUUAUUCUAGUCACUAUAGUCUAUAGUUAUAUGUAUAUAUCACAUAUACAACAAAAUCAUGUAAUCACAUGCGUUUUUAAAAAUAAAAGAAAUUGGUAAAACACUAUAUAUAUAUAUAUAUAUAUAUUACGUAUGAUGAAAUAGAAAAAACGAAUAUUUUAAAAUUUCUAUAUACAAAUAUUUUCUUUUAGUAAAAAUAAUUUCUAUAUUGUAAAAUUUCUAAAUGAAAUAAUUUUAUUUGUAUCGUUUUGUUUUUACCACGUAGUAGUUUAUGUCACUAGCUAGACCAUAUAUUAAAUUUUUGCUCAAAAUAUAUACGCAAAUUAGUGAAUUUUUUUUUUCUCAACUCUUUUUGGAUUAUUAGGUUCGAGAGGAGACAAGUCGUAUCCUUCAACCUUUUCUCACAUCAUCAUGUUUCUCAAUGGAGCUACCACGUUCUGAAACGCCAUCUUCGCGUCCAAGAUUCAUGCUGCGGUUCCUAAACUCACCGCCCUCAUCUAUAUUCACGGGGUCCAAGAUCGAAGCUGAGGACGGUUCUCCACUAAAGAUCGAGCUCGUGGACAUAACCACGAACACUCGAGUCACUUCAGGACCGUUCUCGUCUUCUCGAGUCGAGCUCGUGCCUUUGAACGCUGACUUCACUGAAGAAAGCUGGAACGUUGAAGGAUUCAAACGCAAUAUUCUCAAGCAACGUGAAGGGAAACGACCACUACUCACCGGAGAUUUAACUGUGAUGCUUAAAGAUGGUUUUGGAGUUAUCGUCGGAGAUAUCUCUUUCUCUGAUAAUUCGAGUUGGACAAGGAGUAGGAAGUUCCGGUUAGGUGCUAGGUUGACCGGAGAUGGAGCCGUGGAGGCGAGAAGUGAAGCUUUUGGAUGUAGAGACCAACGAGGAGAAUGUAAGUAGCGUUUUGUUUUGUCAGCGGUUGCAAUAGCGGUUUAAACGUUUAGGAUUGAAUUACUAAUCGUUUUUUUUCUUCUUUUGCUUAUGCAGCUUACAAAAAACAUCAUCCUCCUUACCCUUGUGACAAUGUUUGGAGACUAGAAAAAAUCGCGAAAGACGGCGUUUCGGCUAUGCGUUUGGCUGAAAACGGAAUUAAAACCGUUCAGGACUUUCGCUGUUGCUAUACCGUGGAUCCAAAUGGGUUAUACAACGUAAGAUUAUAAAACUUAAUACCUAUAUAUAAAGUGGUAUACUAAAUUGGCAAAGAUCUCUGGCAAAAGCUUGGGACAAUACCAUAUAACAUGCUCUGGUUUCGGGCUUGAGAAGAUGUAUGGGGUUCGGAAUUAUUCAAAAAAAAAGUAUAAAGUCUUAUAACAAUGACAAAAGUUUGAUUAGUUUUUUUUUUUUCUUAACAGAUACUUUGUGGAAGCAUCUCAAAGAAAACAUGGAAAGCAAUUGUAUCACACGCAAUGGAUUGCGUUCUGGACGAAACAGAGUGUUACAUUUACGACACAAACGUUCAUGGCGUUUCUCUUCUCUUCAACUCUGUUUAUGAACUUAUUCAAGUCUCACUCAGUGGCGGCGAUUUCCAAAACGUCGAUCAGCUAACCAGUUAUCAAUCAUUUUUGGACCAACUCAAGAUUGAAGCUUACCAAAACCUUAACCGCAUGAGAUUGGUAAGGGAUAGGACCUUUGCGAGUCAUCCGCAAAGGUCCUUACAGUGCCAGCAAGGUCCUGAAUUUGGCAUAACAUGUUCUGGAUCACAACAAAUAGACUUUCAAGGUAUACAAUCUUAUAAUGGUUAUGAUCUUAUAAGUCUUUUUGAUAUAUCUCUAAGUUAAAAGUUACUAUAUAUAGACUAAUCAAGUAAUUAUGUAAUGUUCCUUAUUUAGGAAGUUUGGAUCCAUCAAGCUCUUCAAUGUCUGCAAGAUCAACGGUCCACCCUGAUAUGCUGAUGAAUUUUGAUAACUCAUCAACCGCGACGUUUCAUAUCGAAAAGAAAUUCGUACCGGGUUUUCGAAACAGCUUCAAAGUAAGUGAAGUCGACUUAGUACAAGGCAAAUCACAAACUGUAGUGACAAAAGGUCGUAUGGAGAACGACGAGGAGGAUGAGAAUGCGUUUGAUUGUCAUCAACAUUAUGACAUGAUGACCUCGAACUGGUCACCUGGUACGCAUCAAGAAAUGGAUACGAUGUGUUUUACCUUGUCGGGGACAGAAGAAGCUGGAAUGUUUGAUCUUCGUUUUGAAAACGUUAAUUUGGGAUCUCCGAGAGCUAGGUGGUGUAAAGUUAAAGCAGCUUUCAAGGUUAAGGCAGCUUUUAAGGAAGCCCGGAGACACACAACUGCUAGAAACCGAGGUAAGGCGUGUAAGAAGCCUUGCCUGCCGUAUUAGAUUGAAAGGUUUCUUGCGAUACACGAAAGAUGUGUACAUGUUUGUGAAUAAGGUUAGGUUUAUGGAUCCCGACCAAAAUGAGUUAUGGGGAUUAGGUUUUGUGUAUAUCAUGUUUAAUAUUUCCUUUUUCCCAAAAUGGGUUUUAUAAUGAUAUGACUAAAUAGAUUUUUAUAAAUAUUUGAAGUUUUUUUCCCCCUGAAUUAUUGUAGCUCAGGGCGUUUGGUUUGUAAGUUGUAAUAAGUUGUAACCUUUUUAUAUGCCGUAUAAGAAUCAGCUGUUUCUUGCAGUACACGAAAGAUAUAAGGAUAUGUAUAUAUGUUUAUUUGCUUCAUUUGAUAGAGUAUACCAUACUUUUUAAUACUCCAACAAAGUCUAGAACCAUGUUAUCAUUUUGGGUAUGCUAAGAAAAUUUACAUAACAUUAUUCCAUAGUGCUUUGUCACGUUAAAUAAUGGUGUACUUUUUUGCUUUUUUCCUUGAAUUGAUUUAGGAAGAAGACUACUAGCUUCUUAAUCAUAAAAUAAUGUCUAUGAGUUAGUGAAAACAUUAGUGGCUUUUGAUUUAUUCCUUUUUCUUCCUCUGUCUUCAUGUGAACAUGUUUGCAGAAAUAUGUGGUUUCUUUUACUUUCUUUUGUCUAAUACACAAAUAUAAUUGUUUAGAACAAAAAAAAGGGAAACCAUAGAACCCGGUCGUGCGUAUUCCACACCCGACAAUGAUUUGGAAGAUGUUUUGUCUUGUGUUAUCAAUCUACCAAAAGUUUCAUAAUCAUUGUUCAUCUAAAGAGCGGCCGAGGAUAGCUUUUGUCUUCUUACAAUACUCACUUUGGUUUGAGAGGUUUUUUUUAAAGAGCCCUUAAGCCUUUCUUGAUUACAUAUAUAUACUACAAAAGCAGGAAGUAGGGGUUGCAAUAGUUUCUUAAUAUCAAUCAUAUAUAUAGGAGUUAUUUGGAGAAGUGAAGAGUUCUUGAUCACUACUGUUGUGUUAUAAAAGGAUCUUUAGAAAAAAGGUUUGUUCUUUUCUUAUGGAUCCAAGAGUACAGAUACGAUCUCGUUCAUCCACGUAUGUGUCAGGGAGAAUGGAAGAAGAGAAGAAGAUAACUAGGUGUUGUAAUGAUUGCAAAACCACCAAGACACCAAUGUGGAGAGGUGGACCAACUGGUCCUAAGGUAUCUUCUUCUACCUUUAAGCAUUAUACUCUUAACUUUGUUUGAUCUUAAGAUGAUUUCAACAAGUGUUAUUAAGUUGUUAAGUUUCGGUUUGUGGUGGGAUUUUGCAGUCACUUUGCAAUGCAUGUGGAAUCAGAUUCAGGAAACAGAGACGAUCAGAGUUAUUGGGUAUUCAUAUUAUUCACAGACACAAAACCUUAAACUCCAAAAAAUUAAAUCCAAAAACUUCAUCAUUGUCAUCACACGGUGGCGUGGCUGUGAAGAAACGUAGGAGGAGUCUAAAGGAAGAAGAACAAGCUGCUUUGUGUCUACUAUUAUUGUCUUGUAGCUCUGUUUUUGCCUGAGAGAAAGAAAAAACAGAGCAUGUCUCGCUGAAACACACUGUUUUGUAACUUUUGUCCUCUGUUUUGUUGACCUUCUAUAUUCAUGUUGGGCCUAACUUUGUGUCAAAAUUCUGAUCCGUAGAGAUCAUAAGGUCUCAAAAUGUAUUUGAAAUAGAUUGGAGCAUUUUGGUGUGGGCUUUGUGAUACCAUAUCUUCUUCGUUUAGGGUUUGAACUUUGAAGCUUGUAACCAGGAAGCAAACUUAUGAACCGAGCUUAAUUUAAACCCAAAAUGGGUUAAAAACCUCUAUUGUCCAUCUAAAGUGACAAAAGCAUCCUUUAAUAGUCGUUGUGCUUCUUCUCUCCUCCUGCACAUAACCAAAAACAAACCUACUUAACAACAAGUUUUUGAAGACCUUUCAUUGUCUAUAUAGAUUGGUAUUUAAGUCCAGGUAAAGUAAAAGCAUACACAAACCUCUUAAUGUCUUCUACAGCUUGUUUACGCUGUUGAAUUUGAAGUUCCAUUAUGUGAAUAAGCGUUGCUCUUGCCUGUACAUAAGUUAAAGAUAAGACAAAGGCAAAACCCAUGUUGUAUACAACAUGCGAAAAAACGAGAGAAUCUUCAUAGUAACUUACUUGGUGAGGCCUCAAGGAAUUGAGAAGGUGAUGCAAAUUCUUGAAGAUUGAAGAUAUAUCACCAAUCCUCUUUGCAUAUUGAGAUGGUCUCUCAACAAGAACAUCAGCAAGCUCUAAUAUAUGUAACUGUAGCUCUCUAUUCAGAGACCGGAGCUCCUUCUUGUAAUCUACACAAUAUUUUGGAGAUGAUUGUAUAAACCAAUACGUGUGAAUGAUGAUUCCAAAAUCAAGAGAUUUCUCCUAAAGCCUACUACAAUAUAGCAAGCAACUACACAAAAAAGGCAGUAGAAUGACAUAUACCAACAACAUUUGUAUCUUUGGGAUAAAGUUGAGGCACUCCUUGUUCUUCUAAGCUCGGAAGAACAUCCUCAGUCUUGCACCCGAAAUUCGUGAAAAAUGUUAGCCACCGCAAAGAUAACAAAACAAGAACGGUAAACAACACGAAAAAGAGAGAAAAAACCCAUACAGUAUAGUUGCCUCCAAAUGAAACGUAGGUGCCUUCAAUCGGAGGAGGAGGUUCAGGAGCAGAAUCAUAGUUCUCCUCCUUGUAGAGUCUGUAAUAUGGAGGCGGCGGCGGAUACGUAGCUGUAGCCAUUCUCUACUCUACAGAUCCACACACAUUAAGAGACUCGUUAAAAUCUUACUAAUAAACAUAUGCCUCAGGGAUCAUGAAUCAAACAAGGAGCCAUGGCCAUUAUCAAACAAACUCUGAUUUCAAAUAGCGACAAUCUAAUGUAUCAACUUAGGUAGCUACUAAAGAAGACCAAAUCAAACUAGUCACUAAGGUGAAACAUAUGCCUUAGGAAUCAUCAGUUACAUUAUGAAUCAAACUAAGGAGACAUGCUCAUUAUCAAACAAACUCUGAUUUCAAAUAGCAACAAUCCAAUGUAUCAACUUAGGAAGCUACUAAGAAGACCAAAUCAAACUAGUCACUAAGGUGAAACAUAUGCCUCAAGAAUCAUCAGUCACAUUAUGAAUCAAACUAAGGAGCCAUGGCCAUUUCAAUGAAACGCUAACAGUAACAAAGAAACUCGCGAUUUAAAAUAGCGACAAUCCUAUUAUGUAUCAACUAAAUUAGCUACUGAGAAUGAAAUUGAACAGCGAAGCCCAGAGAUGAAGGGAUUUGAAGUGAAGAAGAUAACCUCGAGGUUGUUCUUCUUCCUUUGAACUCGAAGCUGACGAAGGGUUACAAUGGUGGAUUGAUGAAGAGAAAUGAGGAAUUAGGUUUUUUGAUUUGAUUGAUUUCAGAUUUCUGAUUCUGAGAUUUUUGAUUUUUGACGAGGCGAGAGAGACGAACAAUACUAAACCGGAAAUGUAAAGGAAAGUAACUAAACCACAAUUAAACCAGGAGAAGAGGGAUAAACCGGGUUGUUCUAUCACAACUGGCGUUUCCCUCCCUUUGUUCUUCUUUAACCGGUUAAUUGAACCAGUAUCUUCUAUAUAUAUUUUAAAGUUUAUUAAUUCAACCAAACGACAUUUUCUUCUCACAUGAGAUUACUAAGCAAAAAAAAAAAAAAGAAGUUAAUGGAAUUAGGGGUGGAAGCUCCCUUAGUCUAGUGGUUGACGAAGGGUUGUUUAAAGCUUCUACACCACGAGAUCUGGGGUUCGACGCCCAGGUAAUGCGAUUUAUUUAAUUUACAGAUUAAAGAGAUAAGCUUACAGGAGAUCUAUAACAAUGCACAAUUAGAGCCGUUCGCCGUGAUUCUACGCAUGGAGAAAGAGGUGUCGUUAAGAAAGGGUGUAAUCUGUGGUGAAUCUAAAAGGGUCGGACAUAAUUGUCGGUAGUAGAAUCGUCAUUGUAACAAUUCUCAUAAUUUGUAAUAAAUAAUAAAUCAAGAGUUAAAAAAAAAAAAAUGGAAUUAUGCAUUCACUGGAUUAAGCAGUAUGAAAACAUUUUUUAUAAAUUUUAAAGAAAAAUAAAACUUCUACAAUUGUGACUACGAUUGUAAAUUAUUUGUUUAAUAAUCGUAAGAUUUUUAUUUUUCACUAAACGCUGCAAUCAAUUGCUAUAAUUGUAUUUAAAUUAUUUAAUCUCUAGAAAAAAUAGUGAUACGAUUUAUUUUAAUUGCGAUAAGUUACAAUCGCGCAAUUACAAAACGAACUACAUCUCGCAGUUGUAGUUUCAGUAGCUUGCGAUAUUAAAACGAACAUGAUCAAAAUCAGCUGAACAAUAAGAAAUAGUUGAUUAUUGUACAUGAUCUCAAGAUAUUGUUGGCAAUAUACUUCUAUCCUAAAGAUAUUUCUAAUGCUCCAUUAUUUUAGUAGGUGUCAGGAAUAAAACAGAGAAAUACAUUAGAAACAGAAACAAGUUAACUAAAAGAAAAGUCAUAUCAACUCAUAUCAUCAAAAACACCCGAUUCCCUUUUUUGGGCUUAGUCCUCUCUUUUUCAGAUAGUGUCUCUCAUCCUAUUGAAAAUAGAGUUUUUGGCCGGAAAAACACUUUCCCUUUGUCCUAAACUCCCCGUUUUGUUCAUCUCUUAAUCUUUUUGUUGCUAUUUUGUGGCGGCUAGGGUUUGUUCUUGAUAAAACUGGUGAUUGUUCUUGAGCUGGGUGAUCGAAUCUUUUCCUUUUUUCUCAAAUCUGCGUAGGAUUUUGUCGGUUCGUGUGGUCUCGUAGAUUUUAAGGGUAGUGGUUGGGUUCUUCCCUUGCUGCUUGUUAUUUCAGAAGGUCUUCUGUCCUAGAGGCUGCGAUGUCUUCGGCUAUGGACAAGGCGUUAAUGGCUAUGUCUCUUGAGGAAGAAGAAGCUCCUUUCGACAUGCCAGACCUCCCACAGUUUAGUUCCUGUGAGAUGAAUGAGCUGAGCUUGAUUGGGAGGCUUUUGAAUCCCCAAUGUCAGAGUAUGUCAAGCUUGGUGUUUAAUAUGCCUAGGAAAUGGCAGAAGAUUGGGAGAGUUCGUGGCGUGGCUCUCUCAAAUGAAAGAUUCCAGUUCAUCUUCAGAUCUGAGCAUGACCUCGUAGAAGUUCUAGAGAAAGGCUUUCAAACUUACAACGAGUGGGGGUUGGUAAUGGAGAGAUGGUCAAGGUCUCCGACAGGGGAUUCUCUCCAAUUUGUGAAUCUAUGGGUGCAAAUCAAAAACAUCCCUCUUAAUUACUAUACAAAAGAGGCGAUUACCUUGCUGGGGGAGUUAGUGGGGCAGGUGUUAGAAGUUGUUUUCGAUCCUGAGAAGCCUCAAAACAAGGAUUAUGUGAGAGUGAAGGUUAAAUUUGAUGUCUCCAAACCCUUGAGAAAAUCAAAGAUUGUUAAUCUUCCAAAAGGGCUUACGACUUCUGUUUACUACUUCUAUGAAAAAGUCCAGAAGCGUUGUUAUAAAUGUCAGAGAUUAACGCAUGUGCAGGAGGAGUGCCCUCUGGUCUUGAAAGUGCUGCAAGAUCAAGUUAUCGAAAGAAAGAUGGGAAGGAAAGUUGAGAAACCAAAACCGGAGCUGAUAUUAAAAGAAAGUGAUCCUCUUUUUGGCAUUUUGAAAGAGGAGCAAGUGGGCAUACAUCCUUUGUUGGGAAGACCGAGAAUUGCUCAAGACGUUCUGGAAGGUAUGAGGCAGUAUAUCAGACUUGCUACUGUAGAGGAUCGAACGCUGAGAAUUGAGAGAGUCAGAAGCUCAGUGGCAGAAGCGGAGAAGGAUCCUAUCAGUCAGAAAACAGUUUUAAGAAUGGAACCUCCUCCUCUGAUUUCUAACGAUUUCAACAAAGGGAAAGGUCUUGUCUUUGGUUAUGACUCCUCUGAGAUAUCUUCUAUGAAUGCUUCUAAAGUGGAAGGAACAGAAAAGUUGAUGAGUGCAGCUAUCCAAGCAGGGAGAACAAAUCCUAAUGUGGCAGCUCCAGUUAAAGAUUUUCAAGGUCUUGCUUUGGUUGACUAUUCCCAGACCUCUUCCACAUCUCAGGCUGGUCCUACGGCUUAUGCAGUUGGCUUCUAUGAGGCUGGCUCUUCCGGGACUAAGCAGAGAAAGGGGAAGGGGAGGAAACGUCCAUAUGUGAGCAGAAGGAAACCCAAACCUCUGACUGCACCGGCUGAGAUGGGAGAGGUAAUCAAGAAUCAAGGAAUGGAGAAAGGGAGCACAGAAAAAAAGGAAAGGAAGGAUUGAGGAGAAGGCAGGUCAAAAAGUUGCUAAGCACAACAACCCCGAGGUGGUCCCAAAUGAGGGACCGUCCAAUAUCUAAUGAGCAUUAUGAGCUGGAACUGCCAGGGUUUGGGGCGGCCUCAAGACCUGACAGUUCAACGUCUCAUGGAGAUGCGUAAAAAACAUUUUCCUGAGAUUCUGUUCUUAAUGGAGACUAUGAAUGUGAAGAAUGUACUUGUAGAUAUUCAGGGGUGGCUAGGGUAUGACUUUGUUAGAACGGUUGAACCAGUUGGAAGGAGUGGUGGUUUAGCCCUGUUUUGGAAAAGAGGAGUAGAGGUGAACUUUUUGUUUGAAGAUAAGAAUAUUUUAGAUCUUCAAGUGGUGUUGUAAGAUUCCAAGUUCUUCCUUUCUUGUAUUUAUGGGAAUCCUAACAGCACUUUCAGAAAUGAAGUUUGGGAAAGAUUAUUAAGAACUGGGAUUCCUAGAAAAGAGAGCUGGUGUAUGCUGGGCGACUUCAACGAAAUUCUUCACAAUGGUGAAAAGCUGGGAGGGCCGAGAAGAAGUGAGUUGUCUUUUUGUGAUUUUGGGAACAUGCUCAAAGGGUGUGAGAUGACAGAAUUGCUCAGUACAGGGAAUGGCUUUACUUAGGGUGGUAGAAGGGGUGAUCUUUGGAUCCAAUGCAAAUUGGACAGAUGUUUUGGUAAUAAAGCUUGGGCCAAAAUGUUCCCUGCCUCAAAUCAAGCCUUUCUUGAGAAGAAAGGCUCUGAUCAUAGACCUGUCUUGGUGAAGCUUAUAUCGUCGCAGGAAAAUUACAGAGGAAGUUUUAGAUUCGAUAAAAGGUUGUUGAAUAAACCUAGAGUCAAAGAAACGAUCAAGGAAGCAUGGCNNNNNNNNNNNNNNNNNNNNNNNNNNNNNNNNNNNNNNNNNNNNNNNNNNNNNNNNNNNNNNNNNNNNNNNNNNNNNNNNNNNNNNNNNNNNNNNNNNNNGGCAGUCUCAGCAUGGCAGACCUGAGACCUAUUAGUCUGUGUUCAGUGAUGUAUAAGAUUAUAUCCAAGAUCUUGGUGUCUAGACUCAAACCUCUUCUUUCAGAGAUUGUUUCUCCUAAUCAAUCAGCUUUUGUGGCUGAAAGACUCAUCUCAGAUAACAUUAUCAUUGCCCAUGAAGUGGUGCAUAGUUUGAGAACUCAUGCUCAGACAUCAAAGGAAUACAUGGCUAUAAAGACUGAUAUGUCCAAGGCCUAUGACAGGGUGGAGUGGUCUUAUCUGGAAGCUCUUUUGACAGCCUUGGGUUUUCAUGUCAAAUGGGUUGAAUGGAUCAUGACAUGUGUCUCUUCAGUUACUUACACAGUCUUGGUUAAUGGUCAGGCCUUUGGGAUGGUGGAACCUCAGAGAGGCUUAAGACAAGGGGACCCUUUAUCUCCCUUUCUUUUUGUCUUAUGUACUGAGGGUUUAACCCAUUUGCUCAACAAGGCGGAGAUGGAUGGAAGAAUUAGUGGACUCCAGUUUGCUCCAGAUGGACCUUCGAUUCACCAUCUUCUUUUUGCAGAUGAUAGCCUUUUUGUCUGUAAGGCUGAUGUCUUCCAAUGUGAGGCCCUCCAACAAGUAUUGGAAGUUUAUGGUAAGGCUACAGGACAAGUUAUCAAUCUUGACAAAUCUUCUAUUACCUUUGGUACAAAAAUAGAAGAAGAGCUUAAAGAGAGGAUUAAAACCAAGACAGAGAUUGUUAAUGAAGGAGGUGCGGGAUCUUACUUGGGUCUCCCGGAAUGCUUCAGUGGAUCAAAAAUUGNNNNNNNNNNNNNNNNNNNNNNNNNNNNNNNNNNNNNNNNNNNNNNNNNNNNNNNNNNNNNNNNNNNNNNNNNNNNNNNNNNNNNNNNNNNNNNNNNNNNCAUCUAAGCUCUUUGUACCAAAACCUGUAUUAUGUCUUAAUGCUGGCAAAAAGAGACAAAAGGGUUGGUAAUGCUGCAAGAUCCAUCCCGUGGAUCCUAUGGGUUUUGUGGAAAAAUCGCAACAAAUUGACUUUUGAAGGGUUGUCUUUCUUGAUCAAGGAUAUGGUCUGCAAAAUCAAGGAAGACACAGAACAAUGGUUUUUAGCUCAGCAGGUGGAUAAAGAGGAAGAGGAUAACAAUGGGCUGAGAGCUAAGGACUGUGGCAAAACGUGGAGACCACCGGACAAGCCAUGGUUAAAAUGCAACAUUGCAUCAUCGUGGGAUAAAGAGAAAAAGAUGGGUGGGGCUGCUUGGGUGCUGAGAAACUCAGAAGGUACAGUCCUUCUCCAUAGUCGAAGAGGCUUCAGCUCCAUUAACUCUAAGAAUGAUGCUGAUCUCUCUUGCUGGUUAUGGGCUAUUGAAAGUAUGAGUAGUCUUCAUAUAAGACGUGUUAUUUUGGCGGUGGAGACUAAAGAUCUUUAUGAUGCAGUUUUACGGCCAGCAGCUUGGCCCUCUUAUAAGCUGCAGACUCAGGUUAUCUUAGAAGCUUUAGAGCAAAUCCCUUUUUGGAAGAUUCACAAGGAAGUUCGUAAUGCUAACAAAGGUGCAGUCCUAAUUGCGCUAAGCGUGACGAGGGGGGAUCGAGGACAAUCAUAUGUAGCUGCCGGCUAUCCUUCAUGGCUUCAUGAAGUGUUCGUUGAGGAGAUGUACGUUACUUCAAUGUAAUGUUUUUGUUUAUUCUCUGAAGAUGAUUGUCCCCGAUAUAGGUUGUAAAAACUUGAUGGUUAUAUUGAAUUAUUCAGAGGAAAAAAAAAAAAAAAAAAAAAAAGAAAAGUCAUAUACAAAGCAAGCUGAACCAACCCAACUACUCAGACUUGCUGGGAUGUUUUUCCUAAAACAAAUGGAAUAUUCCUUCCUUUGUAAGAUCAUCACAAAUAAAAAUACAAAAAAAUAGGUAAAUAUCAAUUUUAGUGCUUUAAUAAAAUAAAAUAAAAAUACGUAAAUGUAAUACUAAAUUCAAGCAAUAAUUUAUAAAUAUAUGUAGAUUUUUCACUAUCGACAAUUUUAUAAAGACAGAGGUGUUUUAAAUAUGUUAAAACUGAAGUGUGGGUUAUGUUAUUGCCGAAAGUGGAAACAAAUACGACCAUCCCACGUAGAUCCGUAUUUGUCGGAUCGGGUUACAGAUCCGAAUCAAACGGACGGGUCUCUCCCUCUAUCUCCGACCCUCCCACUCUCCCUCUCAACGCGACCUGUUUACUUCAAUCUAUUACGCUCUCUCUGUCUCUAUAAACUCUGUCCAUUUCUUAAAUAUUCUAACUUUCGUGCAAGCCAAUGCUGUUUUGUUUACACAAGGCAAGUAUCUCUCUUAUCCUUGUCCCGAUUCGUGGUUUCUCCUUCUGGGUCAUUUAGUUUCUCUGAUAAUUCAGACAAAGUUCGUAUCUUUUUCCUCGAUGAGCGGUUUGAGAAAGUAAAGCUCAGAUCUUUAUCUCUGCAAUUCCGUAGUUGUUUUCGAAUCAAAUUGGGAAUUAACGUUGCUGUUGAACUUGAAUGAUUCGUUUUUUUUUUGUAAACCUAUUUGGUUUUGUUUGGAUGCUGACACAGUUAGAGGAAAGUUUUGAUUUUUAUUUGCUUCUUAGAUGUGGAAACGAUGGUAAAGAUUUGAAAUUUGAAGUUUUUGACUACACUUAUUGGCUUUAAUUCGAAUCUGUGAAUUGAUGAGUUGAUGACAUAGUCUGUUUUCUCUGUUUUGCCUUCUUCUUUGUUAUGUUGAGAUUUAGAGUAAAUUUGUGUUAUAUUGUCUUUACUCUUUAGCUUGUUCGUGAGUCAAAGUUAUUAACUUUUCGAUAGGGUUCUGAAGAAAUUGUGUAAUGAUGUUGUGAAAAUGUUAAAAAGCUGUAUUCAAUGUGUGUUUAUAUGAGCCUCAUUCUAAUUUUCAUUCUAUGGAUCUACAGAUCGGAAUAGUUGUCUCUGUAGGCAGUUGUCUUCACGAGCAGAGGAGACAUUGUCCUUUUGAUUCUUCUUGAGCUUAUUUGAGGAGAGAAAGAGAGAGAGAGAGAGGAUCUGAUGUGUGUCUCAAUCUCGCAAGUCUCUAGAUUUAGAAUCCAUUCAUUUGGAAGUUCUUGCUGUGAACGUGUUCAUGGCUGGUUCAAGAACAGCUCAAGCCUGAAGCUGCUUGAUGUUAGAGCUUCUUCGGUUGAUGGUAAAGCUAGAUGGAUCAGACGAAACUUGAGUACAAGUACACAAGGUAGUAGAAGCAACACUAAGAGUAGUGUGUUGGGAGGAACAAUUCCUGUAACUAGGAUUAUAGAUGAAGAGAGCAGGACCAAGAUACAGCAGCAGCCUUUUGGAAAUCUUCAGCAACGGCUUGCCCAAGAAAAAGAUCUGCCUAAACUCCUCACAGUUAUAGUCGCUGAUCUUGAGACAACCGGCUUGAGUAGAGUGAAAGAGAGGAUAAUUGAAAUUGCAGCACAGGAUAUAGCUGGUGGUGAGUACAGCACAUUUCAGACUCUCGUCAACCCGGGGGAUGUUCCUCUAACUAACACACAUAUCCACGGUAUCAGGAAUGAUAUGGUUCGUCGACCCGAGGUUCCAAAGUAUACAUUCUUCCCACUUUAGUACUCUUUGAAUUUGUGUGUUUGGUUUAUGCUUGGGCAGCUUACAUUUGGAUCAAACUAAUGAUCGUUUUACGUUGUAGGAUGGAAGAGCUGAUACCGAUAUUUCUGCGAUAUGUAGAGAGUCGACAGAAGCCUGGAGGUUAUGUGAUGUUAGUUGCACACAAUGGGAAAACAUUUGACUUCCAGUUUUUGAUCAACGAGUUUAACCGUUGUUCUUAUGAGAUUCCUCAUAAUUGGUUGUUACUCGACUCACUCCCACUCGCUAGAGAAAACAUGAAGUCCUUAGGUAACAUUCUAAAAUCCCUUUGCUUCUACUUCACUGUAAUGCCUGUAUAGUCUUGUUUUGUAUAUCUUAGUUGGUUAAACUGUUUACUCUAAACCUAAACAGAACAAACAUGUAUGUCGGAAACUUAUAAACUUAGAAAUGGGUUCUUCUUCUUUUGUUUUUGCAGAGCCAACAGUUAAGCCAAAAGCAACACUACAAGCUCUUGCAGAUCACUAUAGUCUUUCAAGGACUGGUGACGCUCACAGAGCCUUGUCAGAUGUUUUACUCCUAUCUCAGGUGUUCCAGAAACUCACCAUUGAUCUCAAGCUCUCGAUUUCUGAUCUUGUUCUCCGCUCUCACACGGCAUCAGAUAUCGCGACUGCCAUGGCCAAGAACAAGAAGGCCUGAAACAUUGUAGCCAUAGAUAAGCUUCUUUUGGGAUAUUCAUCUCAUCUUAUUAUUAAUGUAUCUAACUCUGCAAUUAUGUAACCAAUUAUUUAAUUUGAUUCUAAAAUCAAUCAAGCAAAAAGAAAAAAAAACAGAUGUAACUUAAUUUGAUACAAGACUCAAAGCCACAAUCCUAAUAAGAAAGAUUAGUUGUUUAAUGGAGUGAUCAUACUUCCAAGGAGAGCUUUUACCUGAUUAUGCUGAACCAUUUCGUUCAUCAAUAUGACAUUGCUAUCAAGGUCUAUGUUCUGCUUGUCAAAUGGCACAGCGAUGAUUCAGAUUCAGCCGGUGGUUCUGCGACUGACCGUGUUUUUAAGUGGCAACAAAAGUUACAAAACUGUAAAGAACGAUUUUGCUUCUACAUGGGAUGCAUUGGAAGGACAACUUUACAAAACCAAAAAUGAUUUAUGAAACUUUGAUUAGAACAAACUCUUAGUGUCAUCCUUCAUAUUCUUCACUUUGUCAAAAGGAAUCCAAAGGCAACAAAUCAAAUGAUGUAUGGAACAGUUUACACAUACUAGUGGACAAGUAUGGUUAAAUGUAUGUGUCAUCUUUUGAAUCAUGCUCUCUUCUGUUCACUCACGAUCCGGCAUCUAGAAGCAUGACUAUCAGGUCAUGUCUUCUGUACUUGUCUCACUGAGUGAAGAAGCUAUGAAGAAGAAGAUAUAACAAAAUCAAAGUUAAGUCUUCUCUUUGGUCGGAAGAAACUGACUAGUUUGACUAUUUUAUUUCUUCAUAGUUACAUUACUUCUAGUAUAUUUGGGUUCCAACACUUUAAUAUCUUCUGAUUUCGUAAAUUAAGCUUGUUAAUAGUAAAUUAAUUACUCUCUCCAAAUUUAAAAUCUAAGAAUACACACAAUUAAAUUACAUCUAUGAGUUAAAAAAAAAAGAUCUUAAAAAGUUCAAAUCCAAAGAGAGAAAAAGAAAAGUUUUGUUUUCAUCUAUUGGGGAAAACAAAACAGCCAAUAAGGUCACGAGCUCAAGAACGCUGUUUGCUUUUCCAUAAACAUGUGCACCAAUAAUAAUGAUUUUGUAUUCGCUCACUUUAAUAAAAUCCUGCGUACGUUAGCCUCAUUACCCUUUAAUCCUGCGCCGUGGUCUCCUCUCCACACUCUUAUUACCACUCCACACACGCACAGGCGGCGCGUGUAAUCAUCUCCGGUAAAUCCGCCGCUCUUCUCCACUCUCCAUCCACCGUAUCGUACAUCAACACAAGGCUUUCUCUCAGCCCUCUCUCGCUCCUCCCGCUUCGCCGGAGCAAAUCGUCGAUACAUCCCACUACUUGAACCACCGCUACUUUAUCUUCCACUCCCACGCAGCUAAACCUCACCGUUCCGUCUAACCGUACUUGUGCCGGUAACGGCGGACUUUUCAGCCUCCGCCAUUCUCCGAACCCGCUGUUACCGCCGCGACGACGCGCGUCAAAUCGCCAAAACGAAAGCUCCACCGCGUGGCUGCUUAACACGUAAAUAUACCCAACCGCCGCACACGCCGCCACUACACAUCCACCGCCAGGAACCGAACGACUCCUCAACCACUGACGCGAUUCCACGUCGAAAAGAUCCAUAGAGCUCGCGUAAGCACGCGCCGCCAACGCGCGUGAGGUUUCGUUCCCAAUUUUUAAACCACCAAUCACAUAAAAAACUCCGUCAACGGAAGCUCCGAUGCAACCGUACCUCUUCCUCGCCGAUUGAGUAACCACAACCCACCGAUUAAACUCCGGAUCGUACUCUUCCACCGCCGCCGCAACCUCCGAACCACCACCACCUCCAGCAACGUAGAUCUUCCCAGAAACCACCGCGAUUGCGAAUUUCUUCCUCGGAAAAAGCAUCGGAGAUCUCAAAACAAGCGUUCCCAUCCACGAAUCGUAUCUCAAAACAGCAUUUCUACUAACAACAUAAACCCUAGGUCCAAUCGCCGCCGCGCGAGCAUGAGACAAACUCCCGUCGACACAAACAGACCUACUCGAAACGGCGAGAGACACUUUCCAAGUCGCGACGACCUCGGACUGAAACUGCAAAUCCGCGGCGAAAAGUCCAGAAUCAACGGCGGAGAUCGCUAACAGAGAAUGCCGGAGCAUUCCCAAACGACGGCGAAGGUCGAGAAAGUAAGGAGAGUGGAGGAGACGAGACCAGCGGCGACAUACGACGGAGAGAGAAGGAAUCGAAGAGGAAGGGACUCUGGAGAUACAUUCGAGGAGCAAGUCGUCAGGUAGGGAAGCGAUCGUAGCUGAAGAAUUCGCCGCCGUGGACGACGGUUGGUGAAUCGGAACUAGUGAUUUGGCGUCGGAAGGAUUUGGUAAACAAGAUUUCAUGAGCCAUGAGAAGUGCCGAGAGUUGCAGCUCUCUGACAUCAGAAUUAUCUUCAGAGAACAAAUUUAAUUCUAAAAUAUGAUAUAAAAUAUAUAAAUAUAAAUGAAUCUGCGUUACUGAGUUGAGAGGGAAGUGUCAUUUAAGAAAAGGACUAUAUAACAUAUAGUCAUAUACACAUGUGACAUGUAUAUUAUAUUAAUUAAACUACACUUAGCUUGCGUUUAUGGGUUAUCUACUAAAGUACUAAUCCUCUUUUAGUAAAUUUAGUUUAUUAAACCAUGUACAUUUGAUGAUCAAAUAUUUGGGUAAAGACAACAAAAAUAUAUAGAGAUGUGCAACUAUAAUGUGACUGGGAUUUUAAACAUAUUUAUUUAAAAAGAACACUUUGACUUUAGCGUCAAGAGAACAUAUUGGCAUUGGUGGUGCACAGAUCUCUGUAACUCCUCAGAUAUUGACUUCUUGACUACCUAUGGUCUUCAUCUACACUACACAAUAGUGUUUGCGUACUCACUACUCUGCAAAAGAAGUCGAAACCAAAGCCAUGAAGGCAGAACAUACACUCUUCUUUUUCUUAAUAACAUCUUCUGAACUGUUUUCAUUACCGAUAUAGAAAUAAUCGGAAGAAAAAAAUACGCGAUGUUCGGGUUUAAAGAAUGAAAGAAUUACGGAGUUAACUUUUCUUAUUGAUCUAACCAGGGAUGAUGGUCCAUGGAACUUAACUUUUCUGUGAAAGAGACGUUGUUCCGAUCACACGAAUAUUUCCUUAAGGAUUAAGAGUAGUAGCAUGAUGAAACAGAGGAUGACGAGCACAGACGCGCACUUCACCAUCCCUCCAUGUCUCUGCGUUCGCUCUGCCUGUGAAGUUUUAUGCACUAAACACGUUAAUUAAAUUUGGGACAGCAAAUGAUUGGCCAUUAAUGUUGAAGUGUGUACAAUAUUAUACCUUCUGCAGUUGUUUGAGGCCAUCUUCAACAGUAGUACCGACGUUUUCAAUAUUAUAGUCUAUCCGAUCAACAAUUGUACCCUGCAGCGAAACGGGUUGUUUUGAGUUUGUUUUCCAAAGGAAGCAGACUCGGGAGCUAGUCAAAGAGAAUAUGGGUUCAAUUAGUUUUACCUGAUCUAUCACAAGUGUAGAAAGAUCCUUCAUGAUUUGAGCAAGAUCAUUGACUGAUUCUACAACCUGGACAAGAAGAAAAAAACAGAUUAUGAUUGAUUGCAUAAGAAAAAAACCAUCGGUGAGCAACAAACAACUAAGAACAUAGACGAAAGUACUAGCCUGUUGUAUCUCUUUCUCCCUCUCUACCGAUACUUCCUCGCUCUUUUUAAUCUUGGACAUCUGAUUCUCGUUUAACUAAAAUGAAUUGGAGAAUAGAUUCAUCAAUAAAGAAGUACAUAAGACAAGGAUGGCUACAAAUCUAAAGAAUGAAACAGAUAUAGGAGUCAAACCAUAUCGCCAAAGUCAUCUUCAUCAGGUCUAUAUCUGUUUCUGCUCAGAUUCAUCUCUAAAUCUACUCCAUCCUGAUAAAUGAUAAUACAUUACAAGUCAAGCUUCUUGUGAGGAUAGAAUAAUACAAUGUCCCAAAUUUGAAAAGGGAAAAAACAAGCAUCAAGAGAAUCUAUCAUCUAUGAUAUCCAAGUAAACAAGCUUUAUCAGGGUGCAGCAUCGAAACACAAACAAAAACUUCGACAAACAAUAAACUGCACCAUCAAAGUUCCUGGCAUCAGAAUUGAUCAGAACGUUAACAGUUACAAUCGACCAAGUUCUAGCUAAAUACCUCUUUUUGCUGUCUCAAGCGUUUCAAAUAAGUCGAUUGUUUUUUGCGGAGCUCCAUAGAAAGAAGUUGGAGAUCAGUGGCAAGAGAUCGCUGUUACAAAACACAUACAAAUAAAAUCUCAGAUAGCUAUAACAAUGCUGCCCAAAAAAAUGAAAAGCCUUUAAAACAGAUGUAUGAGCAGCACCCAUCAACAAGUCAAAGCCUACCUGCACGUUUUUCCUAACAUUAGAAUCUUCAGAAGGACCUGCUGCAGAAAGCCUCUGAAGUUGCUUCUCAGAUUUCUUCAAUAAAAAAGUGAUCUCCUGUGUCAAAGACUCAAUAUUAUGCUGAUCCUCUUUACCAUCUCCAAACGACGGCAUUAACGCUUUGGCAUGAGCCUUUCCCAGCUCAGCCAUUUUAGUCCUCGCACGCUGUAUAUUAACAGAGAUCUCCUCAGAUACAUCAACCCAAGCUGGUGGUAAUCCCACUGUUAUCGCACUGACACAAGCAAGAAAAAAAAUCUCAAACAAAUGAACCAGCUCUGUGAUUCUUAAGUGUGAUUAAGCCACACUGCUACAUAUCUAUCACUCUAGCUUAAGCAUCUGAGUUUUAACACACGAUUACCAAAACCCUAAUUGAUCAAUUCACCGGCAAAGAAGAAGAAGGAGAAUGAGUACCUCGAAUUCCCAGGAUCUUCGGUGGUACUAACAGGAGCGUAAGAGCGAUUCGGAUUCAACAAUGAUGUGCUCGCCAUCUCUAUAACCGGACCAACGCCGGAUCGUGUUCCCGUCAAUGAAGAUGACGAUAAUGGAGCUCGAACGCUCCUCAGAGAGUUCCUAUACUUCCUGAACAACAACGUACGGUUCCUCGUCGCCAUGAUCGCCAAAUAAUCAAAAAUCCCUAGAAUCUCAAUUUCAACAUCCAAAAUUCGAAAUUCAGCUUUUAGAUUAUCAGAGCUUCGUCUCCGAUUUGAAAACUACAGAUCUGAAACACGACCGCGGCUUCAUCAUCCACCGAGGAUAAACAAACACGAAAUGUGGCGCCAAAAUUGGAACACCGAUGAUGAACGGAAAUGCUCGAAGACCGGCGAGAUCAAAAACUUCUCCGAUGAGGUUUUCACUAUUAUUUCCCCAAAAUAAAUAAAAAAAUUUUUGAAACAGUAAAAAAAAAAAAACUCUUUUGACUGUUGAGCGGCUUAAAGUUCUUCUGUUUCACCAACUUACCAAAACUAAACCAAUAAAAUCUCGACACGUAAGUGUACAGUAAACAGCAUGACGUUUUCAUAUUCCGAAAGUGGAAUACACAGCGGGUAAGAGAAUUAAACGGCAUGCAUUCGUGCGGGCUGUUGAAAGCGAGAGAGAUUAGUUUAAAAAACUUAAAAAUAAAAAGUAAUGUAAUGUAAUAAAACUCAUCUCCUCUCCUAAUGUCUCUCUCACUCUCUCUCUCUAUCCAAAGAAUUAAAAACAAAGAAAGCCAUUAAAGAAAAAAGAAGAAGAAACGCAGAAUCGUCGUCGUCGUCGUCUUCGCAUUUCGCCGGGAUAUUUUUGAUUCUUGAAUCGGAAUAUUUGUGUUUUCAUUUAUCGAGAGUCAAAGAUUGAAUUUUUUUUUGUUUUUUGUUUUGUUUCUGUUGGGGGAAAAAAGUGGAUUCUUGGGUUUCGAUUUGUAAUAGUUUUAUUUGGUUGUUGUAAGAAUGGAUUCUGAUUCUUGGAGUGAUCGUCUCGCAUCGGCUUCAAGAAGAUAUCAGCUUGAUUUCUUGUCUCGAUCUGGUGAGUUGUAAUAACAAAAAAAAAAUUGAAUUUGGAUUUGUUGUUCUUUGUUCUUUGUCAAUUAAUCUUUGAUUUGUAGAUUUGGUUUGGUUUGUUUUCAAUUUUAAAUGUAUCUUGAUUCUAUGCCAAAACCAAUUAUGUUGCUCAAUUUGUUUUCUCUUUAAUUUGAUUGAGGUUGAAUGAGAGAGGUUCCGACAAAAGGUGAUGUCUUUGGUCUGAAUUAUUGAAAUGGAGAUUUGUUUUUCUGAUGUUGAAAUGGAGGAAUAUGGAAGGAAAAUAAAAUAAAAAAGUCUCUGUCUUUGAGGCAUUUUACUUAUGUGGGGGGCUUUAAGGAUUUGAUUAAGCGUGUGUGUUUGUUUAUACGAAGAGUUUUUGUUUUGGUUUUUGGUAUGAAAGUUGGAAUCUUGAAUCUUGAUGAUUCUUGUUUGACCUAGGUACCUAGUUUUAAAAAUUCAAGAAUAUACAAAACUUUUUGUGGGUAAGCUUGGUUUCAUCUCAAACGUAGACAUCUUUUCCAGGAAAGGUUUAUGAUAUGCUUGUUUCCUUUCGUUCUUUAUGAAUCUUGUUGUUCCUUUUAUACCUCAAUUCUUAUAUUUGUAUUGUUAACUUGAGAAAAUGGAAAUGGAACGCGUUUUUAGUAUUCCCGUGAUUUUGUUUUAGAUUGGUCUCUUUGCAUUGUUGUUUUGUGGUAUUUGACUAGGACUUUCUUGUUUUUCUAAACGCAGACAAUUUCUUGGGAUUUGAGGAGGUAGAAGGAGAAGAUGACUUCAGGGAGGAGUAUGCUUGCCCUUUCUGCUCAGACUAUUUUGAUAUCGUGUCUCUAUGCUGCCACAUUGAUGAAGAUCAUCCUAUGGACGCCAAAAAUGGGGUAACUAUUACCUCAAUACUAUACAGUUAUGAAAAAACUAUUUAUUGUUUCAUCACAUAUUCACAUGGUUUCUUGGUACAUUGGGCAUAACAAGGGUACUUUGUUCAGUAGUUUCUGUCUUGUAUGUAAGAUUGGAAUAUGUCGAAAUAGGAUUGUAGUUGCCGCUCAGUGUGCCUCAGAGAAUAAAUUAUAAGACCCUUUUUUAUUGUCAGGAGGGUUUGCUGCAAUAGAAGAUUGACAUAUUUUUUCUUGUAGGUAUGUCCCGUUUGUGCGGUGAAAGUGAGUUCUGAUAUGAUUGCUCAUAUAACACUUCAACAUGCAAAUAUGUUCAAGAUAUCCUUUUCUUUCCUUCUUCUAGUUAUAUUUUAUAAGAUCAUUUACUUCUGUGAUUCGUUUCAAAGAGUUGUGUUUUGUUCCUUAACAAAAGAUUACGUGACGCGGAAAAGAAAAUCAAGAAGAGGUGGAGCUCAGUCCAUGCUAUCGAUCUUGAAGAGAGAGUUUCCUGAUGGAAAUUUUCAGAGCCUGUUUGAAGGAUCGUCGCGUGCGGUACCCUCUUCUUCUGCCAGUAUAGCUGCUGAUCCUUUGCUGUCUUCGUUCAUUUCACCAAUGGCUGAUGACUUUUUCAUUUCUGAGUCAAGUCUAUGUGCAGAAACAACUUCUGCCAAGAAAACAUCUACUCAGAGUUUUCCUGAAAGGUAUGCUUCCUCAUUCUCAUUAUGUAUUCUCAUUGCAUUGCCCUUUCCUUUAUCAUUAUUAUAGUUGAAAGUUCUGUAUGUUGCAUCAGCGAAAUCGCACAAACUUACUUCAGUGAACCUUUAGAGAAUUUAGUUGAUCCCUUUAUUACCAUAAGCAUAAAGCUCUUCUGAUUGUCAUUUUCUUUAUCAUUUUGUAGUGAAAAUCUCGUAUUUUGGAUCAAUGAAAUCUCAGAAACAUAGUUUUUAUGAGCCUUCAUAGAACUAAGUUGGUCCCUUGUUACCAAAAGCAUAAAGCUCUUGUGAUUGCCCUUUCCUUUAUCAUUCUUGAGCUAAUUAACAUCUAAGUACUUAGUCAUUGCAUAUUUAGCUCAAUGAAAUUUUGUAUCUUUGAUGAAGCAUUACCAACAAAAUCGCACAAACUUAGUUUAUAUAAGCUUUCAUGAAGUUUUGGUGAUCCCUUGUUUUAGCAUUAACCUAAAGCUUUUGUGAAAAUACAAACUGUAGAAGUUUCUCUGAGCCUUCAUGAAGUUUUGUUGAUCCCUUGUGUUACCUCUGACCUAAAGCUCUUGUGAUUUUGUUGUUGUUGUAAUUAUACAGGAAUGUUGAGAAGCAGUCUCUUUCAGCAGAGGAUCACAGAGAAAAGUUGAAACAGAGCGAGUUCGUUCAAGGGAUAUUGAGCUCAAUGAUCCUUGACGACAACUUAUAAAGGAGAAAUAAUAAUUCCGAUUACUUCUCUACGGUUUAGAUCAUUCAACGAUUGGAAAAUGUAAACUGCUUUGUUGUUGUUGUUAUCACAACAAGUGAGUUUGUUGGGGAAGGGUUUGGGAAUAAACAGAGAAUAAUGUUAAAAGAGAGACAUGAUAAUAUGAGUAUUAUUAACUUAUGAAAGACAUAUUUGCUCUAAUGAACACUCAGAAUUGUCUGUAGACUGUAGUAGACCUUAGAAAAAACCAAAAAAAAAAAAACAAAAACAUAUAUUUGGACUGAGUUGUUUUGUUCUUAAGAUUUUCAGUUUGCUCUAGCUUUUUACUGAAAAUAGUUUUGUAAGCAAUGCAAAGACAAAGAAUUAACUCUUUUAACUGUGUUCUGUAACAAGCUAACUUAUGCAUAAAACUUACCAUAAAAGAUUGAACUAAGGAUUGUAGAGCUUUACCCCGAAGGGAGCUCUUCCAGAAAUUCUCGAAGGCCCAAGACGAGCUUAGGCCCAGGAGGGGGUAUGGAAAUAGUUUUCAACCAGCAAUAGACGCGCUUCGGUUAAGACCUCAUUAGCUGCGUCAUUGCCCCAAGCGCAAAGAUGAGUUGCGAUGAGUGAGAGACUCCUUAUUUAUACCCACACAAUGCUCUGGAACUUUAUACGUGCUCCGAUGUGGGACUUUAGUCUUGGCUCCAAUUAUAUUUAAGAUUAUUAUUGUAAAAACAAAGCAAUAAUAUAGAAGAAACGUUGAAAGUUAAAACUAAGAAUGGUAGGGGCUGCGCGGACGCAAACCCCCUCUGCCACAAAUAAUGACGCAGGCUCUUCCUCAAGGGAAGACCUUAAGCUUAGCACCCCACGUUAUGUGCAAUGUGGUCACUAGCCUAGGCCACUCGUCUUCUUGAUCGCGAGUUGACCCCGUCCAGGUAAGUAAUUUUCUCGAACCACCUGCUUCUCUAUUUAUACUCCUGCUUCCCUUGUCAUGGCUCUGGGUCAGAGCGAUGUGGGACAAAUUGUAUUUGCACAUCUUGCUGUGUUAUGCAUCUGGUUUCCAACACCGUGCUGUUUUUCUCACAACGGCAUGAGUUUUUCUGCUUUUGUGUUGUACACAUGGCCCGGACGAUCUAGGCCCAAUUAACCCUCCACAAAACGUUUUGCCAAAAAUAAAAGAAGCACAUAUAGAUUUUUUGCUCAUCAUACACAUUAACUUAGACAAAAAAAAAUAAAGAGAGAGAGUUUUCUAGAUUUUUGAGUUUUAAAUCAUAUGAUGGAUUUAAGAAACUGUUUAGAGGAUAUGAAAAGAGUUCUCAUUGGAAGAUGUUCGGCAUCUUUGGCAGAUCCAUGACGAGUUUAUUAUAGUGUAUUAUGGUCUCUUUUAUAGUUUGGGAGAAGAAGAUUACAAGAGUGGGAUUAGAAGUGGACUCAGAAAUGGUAGUGAAUUUUUUUCAAGACGGAGAUUGGUGAAUCUUAUUCAUUUGUGCCAUGAUUUUUUUUUAUCAAAGAUUGUGUUUAGGAAAGCUAUAUGUUUCACGGAUUGAUAAGCAAACUAUACGGACCAUCCUUAUCGCACAACUCAAUCAGAUGUGUCUUUAACUAAUUUAUUUUAUUAAAUAUUGAGCUAACAAAAUUUAGAACUAAUUUAAAUGUGACACAUAGUUUAGAGUGUCUUUAAUAGAUGUUUUGAAUAUCUUGGUAAAACCAUUUUUAUUUCUCUUUCCUGAUGAAUGUUUUAAAUUUAAUAAUAAAAAAUAUGAAAGACACUACAUUUAUCACUAAUGGAGGUGCUUUACUUUAUCUUUAAGCUUUCAUGUAUUUUUUAAAAAAAUACGUUUAUGGCCAUUGUUGAGACUUUGUUGAGAGACGAUUUGUUAGGACAUGCGUGUCAUGGUAUGUAAUUUUCUCUUAAAUUUGUAGAAUACUAGCUCGGAGGUUUACUCCUGGUCAUCACACAAAAUAGAGAAAAGAAAUGAUUAAUAUUUUUCUAUAUUGUUUUCUAGCAUGUGCAUUUUGUUUCUAUAACCAAAAUAUUUCAACCAAUUAAAACCCUUCUACUUAUUUUCAGUAAUUAUUUGAAAUUAUAGAAAAUACCAAAAAAAAAAAAAUUACAAUCCAAGAAUCUAUAAUCUCACUAGCAUUAAUCUAGCUACAAUUGUAAUUGCUCUACAUUAUUCAAUUAAGAUAAGAUACAUGGUUGCUAUCACUACAAUCGCUGUUAUGCUACCACAACAUCUAUUCAAGGCCAAAGUGUUUAGGUCGGGAGAGACAGUAGACCUUGUUUGCUAUUUUAAAAUGUUCCAAUCUCAAUGAUAAAGUAAAACACCAUGAGGACCCUGUCCAAAGCCUUUACCAAAUCAAAAGUGUUUUUUCAAGUACAUCAAAUCAUUAUCAUCAUCCUAACCUCUUUUGUCGUCUUCCUUCCAAUCUUUAAUAAUUAUGUUAAGCAUUUGCUAUUAUAUUUUCUUUCCACAGGGUUCAAUUGGUAAUGUACUCAAAACUGUACAAAAGAGCUGUAAACUGGAGUAGUAAGCUUUUACGGAAUAGUCCAAAGUUAUAAGGAAAAACGGUAUAUAAAACUGUAUAAAACGGUAUAUAAAAGCUGUAUAGAAAAAGGAGAGAGUAAAAUUUUUAAUACAGUUUUUGGUAAAGUUUUUGUGAUUGGUAAAAUCUAAAAACUGUAUUAGUUGUACAAUUUUUAUAUGUUUACUGAUCAAAGCCAUAGUUUUGUUAUCUAUAUAUUCAAUCCAGAUAACUAUAGUCUAUACAUUACACACUAUUGAUUCUCAUAUAAAUCUAUUUUAUUCAACAAUUUAAUAUGGGUUUUAGUUAGGCUUCACUAAUGUGGUUUUGGCUUGUAAGUAAAUAUAAAAAUUUACCGUAGAAUUUUGAGAUUGGAUAUUUUAACGCUAUUUUACUUAUGAAAAUAUUAUAUAUAUAUAUAUAUAUAUAUAUAUAUAUAUAUCUUACUAUAUGCAAAUGUUUUACAAUUCUUUUAACUUUGAUAACACCUAACAUCAAUGAUAACUAUUAGCUAAUAACACUAGAUUUUUAAAGUCUUUAACUAAAUUAACUCAUAUAAACUUACAUUAAUAUAUAUUAUAUAUGUUUUUCAUAAUUCUAUUUAUAUCAUAUACUAAGUAACACUUAACGAUAUCUAAACAGAGAUAAACAUGUCAUUAGUGAAAGUGAUGUUUGGUCUGUGUUUCCUACUAAUUAGGAAGCAAAGUGAAAUGAUUUCGUCCACUUAGCAGUUUUAAACAACUUUAUUGAAAAAAUAUUUCUCCCUCAAAACAAAAGCUAAUAACUGCCUCAACUAUAUAAAACUAUGUACUUAAGUGUCCUUAAUUUUUCACAAAUUUAGUAAUCAAAAAGUCCGAUUUCCGAUUCAAUAAUCUAUUUUUUUUAAUUAUUAAGAUCCAUUGAAUUGGACCAGCCAAAAUCAUACACACACGUAUACCAUUACCAUUACACACUCAUUGAUACUGUACAUGCAUAGUAUAUCAAAAAGAACUAUCAUCUCUAAGCAAAAGCUAUACUUUUACAGGUUGGUGUGUUCGGCAAAAAAGGGGUCUUGUUCAUUUCUUAAAGUUGGUACUUAGAUUUCUAUGUUUUCAAUGUCAAUAAAGAGACUUUGGUAUUUUUUUUCUAAAAGAUAUAAUGAUGAUAAUACAAAUAAUAGAAAUUAAUGUAAGAUAAUAUCAUCCCCCAAAUUAAAAGCUUAAAUUUUACACUAUUUGUGAAAAAGAAUUCAAGAUUUUUUUGUCGAUUUAUGGGGAGAUGACAUGUAGUUAAACAGUGUAAAACUGAUUUUUAGGCUUUAAAAAAGUUGAAAAAGAGAAAAAGAAAUGUGUUUGUUUAGGGUUCAGAAAUUGAUGUUUGCUUUUUGUGAACUGAAAAAACUUUUGUGUUUGUGUGUGUGCCCUAAAAUAAAUCCUUACUUUAGCCAGCAUGUUUCUGGGCUGCCUUUUUAGUGGGCCAUUUAAUUUCGGCCCGAGUAAUUUAUUUAAUUUUAUAAGUGUUAAUCUAAACCAUUGAUUUUAUAAUUAGCCACGUCGAAGUAAAAUACGCGCCUAUUUUUUCUAUGGUUUUGGAUCCAAAGCUUGGGUUAUCUUCUGGCUCUAUGACUCUUUUGUUCUCAAACUAAACAAUAAAAUAAAAGCCACAGAUUACUGUAAAUUUAUAUGAUUAUUAAAUAAUGUUGGUAUAAUCUGGUGUUGAUUUUAUAUAAUUCAGUUAUUAAAUAAAAAUUUUACUUGAGAGAUCUACAAGUCUUAUCUUAACCGAAUGAACCCAAAUUCAGUUCUUAGUUUCGGUUAUUGGUGAAAACGGAUUUAAUUUGGUAUAACUCGGUCUAGUUUUGAUAGUACAUUCGGUUGUUUUAAUAAAAAUCAGUUACUUGCAAAAUCGAUUAGUUCUAUCUAAAUCGAAUUAAAAUUGUAGGAUAACCAAACCUAUAGUAUGAAUCGAUUCAGAUUAUAUAAAAAAAAAAAAUACAAAAACAUUUCGGCUCAGUUCGGAAUCUCAGUCCUACUCAAAAUAACAGUGAAAUAUAUUCCUUUAUAUAUUUUUUUAUUUUAAAAUAGAAUAAGUAAAAUGCUGCAAUAAAAUAAAAUAAAUGGAAUUAAAUUUCUACAUAACAUCAACAUAAAUGGGAACAUAUUAGAAAAAAUGUAUCUACUAACAUGUGCUCCUUAAAUUAAUAACUAAUCACAUCUUUAUUUACAUCAUAAAAAAAAAUUAGCUUUAAUAAUUUUAGAAAACUCUAAAUACACAAUAUUUUCUUCUAUAAUUAACCAAAAAAAAUUCAAAAUUCAAAAAAGUCAAACCAAUAUAUCUAUAAUACCAUUUUUAAAAUUUUAUUCUAUACAAUAAUUUUUUUGUUUCUUUAUCUAUCAUUAAUUAUUAUUAUUUUAAUUUCAAUUUUUUUGGUUUUAAUUAUAAUCAAACCAAAAACAGAAAAAAAAAAAAAAAAGAGAGAAGAGCGUAUCUCUCGCGUCCUUUGCUAUCUCCAUCUCACAAGAGAGAGACAAAGAGAAAGUGAGGGAAAAUUUUUCAUUUCAAACCUUUUCUCUCUUUCUUCCAUUGCCUCUUCUUCUUCUUCUUCUCUCCUCUCUUUAUAAAACAAAAUACCACCACCACAAAUUUCUCUGUAUCUCUUACAAAAAAAUUAAAAAAAUCUCCUUUUUGUAGAUGGCGACGACAUCGGAGAUCAACAACAAUGAUCUUUCUACCUUCUCUUUAGUAUCAAUCGUUGAAGAUGUUCUUCAACAACAUAGUACCCGAUCAAGCGACGUUGGUUUGGUUCCUCGCAUAGUUGAAGAAUCUUGUGAGUCUCUCUUUUUGGAAUCGAUUCAAUUUUUGCUGGUGAAUUCGAUUUCUGGAUUCAAUUGGGUUUAUGUUUGCUAUGGUGUUGUUUUUAUAUGCAAAAAUUUUGGAUUUUUGUAGCUGUAAGAAGAUAUGAAGCUGCUGGGUGGCUUAGAGAUAUGGUUGGAGUUAACAAUGGUAAAGAUUUCCCAGCUGAGCCUUCUGAAGAAGAUUUUAGGCUUGGGUUACGAAGUGGGAUUGUUCUUUGCAAUGUUCUUAACAAAGUUAAUCCUGGGUCAGUCUCUAAGGUAAAAAAGUUUCAACCUUUAUUGAGUAUGGAGAUGGAGAUGAUGGAUAGUUGAAAUUGAUCUGUUUUAUCUCGUUGCAGGUUGUUGAAGCGCCUGAUGAUGUUGCGGAUGGAGCUGCGCUUUCGGCUUUUCAGUAUUUUGAGAACAUAAGGAAUUUUUUGGUAGCAAUUGAAGAAAUGGGUUUGCCAUCUUUUGAAGCUUCAGAUAUGGAGAAGGUAGAAAGAUUGUGGUUUUUUGGAUUAGAUACAGACUUGUAGCUUUUGUUUUACCUUGGUUGAUUUAUUUAUUUUUCUUUCAGGGAGGUAAGUCUGUGAGGAUUGUGAACUGUAUUCUUGCUCUUAAAUCUUAUAGUGAGUGGAAACUCAAAGGUGAGAAUGGUCCAUGGAGGUAUGGUUCGAACAUGAAGCAUAACUUUGGUAUGAGAAAACCAUUUCUGAGGAAAAAUUCAGAGCCGUUUAUGAGUUCUGUAUCGAGAACUGAUCAACCUUUGAGUUCUGAUGUUGGGCAAGAUCUUAGUGAAAAGGUAAGUGAGAGAUUCCUGCCUUGUGGAAAUGUUUGUUUGUAUGGCAGUGAAUUGUGGUUGUUGAUAAAAGUGUUUACUUUUUCUGCAGGGAGAUUCUAGAUCCGUAAAUGGGCUUGUUCGCUCAUUCAUUGCAGAUAGAAAGCAUGAAGAUAUUCCCAAUGUAACAAUUCUGCCUUUAUAGUUUGUUGCUUAAUGAAAGCUUUGUAAUGGUUUGUCUAAGCUACUUAAGGCAUAUAAUAUGAAUUGAAGCGAUGUAUAUUAGAAAAUUGAUGUCUAUCACCAUUUGUAGGUUCAGGAGUUGUUACCAAGACUAUUGCAAUAGACACCAUCUCGAAAGUUCUUAUUGAGAAAUCUGAUUUCUUUUCUUACUUAUCAGGUUGUAGAGUCUGUAUUGAACAGAGUUAUGGAAGAAGUCCAACAGCGGUUAUCAAUCCACAAUGAAAUGGUGAGAGCAAGUGAAGUCAAUUAAGAUGUUAUUUUCUUUGGAGUGAAUAAGUAGAGUCAGUCUGAGGUUUUGAUCGAUUUGGCUUAUUGAUGCAAUGAAACUGGCUUUCAAUAUUUUUCAGAUGAAAUCAAGUUCAAAGCCUAUUCUAGAAGAUGAUGAUUCAUCCUGUGAGACAUUGGUGCGGUCUCAGCAGUGUGAUGCAAGACAACAUGAGGAAGCAGAAGAAGACAGUAUGUCCCCGGUUGUAGAAGAAAAGUUUCAAAGGACACAUUUUGAGAAUUACGAAGAACAAGAGAUUCUUUUGAAUCAACAAAAACGCAUCCAGGUAAGUUCCAAUUUUAUGGCGUUUGAAGGAUCUAACAACCAUAUCAUGAAAAUGGUUUCUUAUUCUAUCUUCCAUUCUCAAUGAUUUAUAAGAAUGACAAGUUAGAAAGGUAACUUAAACAUUGAUUUACUGCCUACAGGAAUUGAAGCAAACCUUGAACUCUACAAAAGCUGGAAUGCAAUUACUGCAGAUGAAGUAUCAAGAAGAUUUCUUUCACCUAGGUGUCAACUCAGAUCAUCUUUUUGUUAUGUUUUUGUUGAGGCCUCAAUGUUCAAUCAUUGAAUAUUUAAUCUGUCAUUAUUUUUGGGUUGGUCACACAGGCAAGCAUUUAAAUGGUUUAGCUUAUGCGGCUACGGGAUACAAAAGGGUUCUUGAAGAAAACCGCAAACUGUACAAUCUAGUGCAGGAUCUAAAAGGUAACUCGACAGGAAAGAAUUUUGAUUUUGUGUCAGUCAUACUUCAAGAAUCUUGAAUCACGAAGACAGUUCCUAUAAUUAACCUGCAUAAUGACCACACACUUGGUAAUGUAUAGGAAACAUACGGGUGUACUGUCGGGUUAGGCCUUUCUUGCCUGGGGAACCAACUGGUUUGAGUGCCGUGGAACACAUAGAUGAAGGCACCAUCACAAUCAGAGUGCCAUCCAAGUAUGGAAAAGCAGGGAAUAAACCAUUUAUGUUCAACAAAGUCUUUGGUCCUUCUGCAACACAAGGUUAAAAAAUGCUUAUUUUUAUGUCCCAUUAAUGUUUAGUUUGUUGCGCUGUGAAUAACAUUAGGGAAUUAAUCCAUUUUUCUUCAGAGGAAGUGUUCUCAGACAUGCAGCCUUUGGUACGGUCGGUUCUUGAUGGCUACAAUGUCUGCAUCUUCGCUUAUGGCCAAACCGGAUCAGGGAAAACUUUUACCAUGGUAAGAACUACUACUAUACAAGGCUUCCAAUCUUUUUUAGAUGAUUAGAUUGUUUUUGAUUCAAUAUACAACUAUGGUUUUAACUUGUCUUUAUAGAAUACCAAAUUCCUAAUUUUCUAACUACUCUAGACAGGGCCUAAGGAGCUGACUGAAGAAAGCCUAGGUGUGAACUAUAGGGCACUGGCAGAUCUGUUUCUUCUAUCAAAUCAAAGAAAAGACACGACCAGCUACGAGAUUUCAGUUCAGAUGCUGGAGAUCUAUAACGAGCAAGUCAGAGAUCUACUUGCCACAGAUGGCCAGACUAAAAGAUAUCCUUUGUGUUAAUAUAAGUUUGACUGUUGUGUCUUCAUCAUUUAAAAACUUUGAUACUUUGAAUUUGAUUUUUUCUUAACUCUUGAUUACGUUAGAGAUCAGAAACAACUCUCAAAAUGGAAUUAAUGUGCCGGAAGCAAGUCUAGUUCCUGUCUCAUCUACCGAUGACGUUAUACAGCUGAUGGAUUUGGGACACAUGAAUCGUGCAGUGAGCUCUACAGCUAUGAAUGACAGAAGUAGUCGAUCUCACAGGUUCGAUUUUUCUUCUAUUCUUAUAUUAUGUCAUGAGUACUCUCUUGUAACUCGUUCUAACCCCAAAUCUUCAUCUCUUUGGCAGUUGUGUAACUGUGCAUGUUCAAGGCAGAGACCUCACAUCUGGGACUAUCCUCCAUGGUUCUAUGCAUCUGGUUGAUCUUGCAGGAAGCGAGAGAGUGGACAAGUCUGAGGUGACUGGAGAUAGACUGAAGGAGGCUCAACACAUCAACAAGUCCCUCUCGGCUCUUGGAGAUGUCAUCUCCUCGCUUUCCCAAAAGACUUCUCAUGUGCCUUACAGAAACAGUAAACUCACUCAGCUGCUGCAGGACUCCCUUGGUGAAAUUCUCGAAACCCUCUUAGGUUAUUGCAUUUGGGCAUAAACACGCACUUGAAUCUUAUACAACAUAUUUUUUACAUUAUCAGGAGGAUCAGCCAAGACACUCAUGUUUGUCCACAUAAGUCCAGAAGCUGACACUCUCGGAGAAACUAUUAGUACUCUAAAGUUUGCUGAACGAGUGGGAAGUGUUGAGCUAGGCGCUGCUCGUGUGAACAAAGACAACUCAGAGGUUAAGGAGCUUAAAGAACAGGUUCAUAACCCAUACACCAUGUCCAGACCUUGAUUGUUCUACAUACUCAUUUGCUGUCUUUCCUUCAUUCUUGUCAUAAUUAUAUCAUAUAACUAAUCUGCCACUGUUCUUGGGGAUUUCAGAUAGCUAAUCUUAAGAUGGCUCUAGUAAGGAAAGGAAAUGGUAAUGAUGUACAACCAACCUCUAUACCAAUGAGCCGUGAGAGAAUAUCGAGAAGAAGAUCACUUGAAACUCCUUCUAUUCGACCCAAGUUACCUGGUAUGGGAAACACACCAAGCAACAGCAGGCCCCAGAUCAUGGAUCUAAGUGGACCAGAGGUAUGCUUUAUCUUCUUUCAAGAGCAAUCAAUGCUGCUGUAUCAAACUAACUAGAAGUUAUAAAUUUAUGUCAUCUGUGUAUAUAUGUAAUAUAUAUAGUCUUUGAAACUGGAUGCAGGCUUUUAGCGAUUCUACUGCAUCUUCAAGAAGACACAGCUUAGAUAUCCAUGAGCUUAUGAAAUCUUCUUCUCCGGCUUGGCCGAGGCAAUCACUCGAUGCAAAAGACGAGGAUAGAGAAUUUAAGUCUGGAGAGUGGAUCGAUAAGCACGAAGAAUUAAUUCGAGAUCAGAAUCCAAAUUAUCCUGAGCAAUUCUACCAGUCAUUGGUCCCUCAACAGCAAUCACUGUAUGUGUAAACUCACGUUACAUUGUUUACUUUACAUGUAUCAUCUCUUCAUUUCCUUAAUCUUGAUCUAUACAAUCUUUCAAAUGACAGAAAUGGCGGUAAACAAGAUUUCGAAGUGCAGAGUAUUACAGAUAACGAAUCUGAUGAAGCCGCAACAAGCGACUGCUCAGAUUCCGAUUUGCUGUGGCGAUUGAGCGUUCAAGUGAAUGUUCCAAGAGUUUCUAAUGUCCAAAACUCAGCAAACCCCAAACCAAAGAAACUUCAGCCUAGAACUGCUAAACUUCAAGAAACUAGGUAAACAAAUACAUCAUUUUCCAAGUUUGUUUGCAGCUAAUCAUUAUAAACUUAAUUGGGAACUUUUCUUGUGACAGAAGCUUAAUCCCGUCGCUGAUACCAGCACCAAGCAAGAGACUUCCUAACACCGUAAAUUCGCAGCCGCAGCGACCAACCAGAGAUGGAAAACGCAGACUGAGUUUAGGCACAUAAACAUGUUUUUCACCAGUUUUGUAAAGAGUUUUCAAAGAGACAAAAGAAAGAAAAAAAAAAGAUUUGUUAUUUCUUGUAUAUUGUGAGAGCUUUCUCUGUUUUGGCCGUUCCUCUUAUUGUGUCAUUAAGGGUGAAGAUCUCAAAUUUGCUGCUUUGAGUGUACAAAGAAGGAUUCCUUAUUAUAUACAGUCUUCUUUUGGAUUCUUAACCUAUGUGUAUGCAAUAUGCAUAUACUGUGUAAUUUAAUUAUAUGAACAACCAAACCACAACCAAAUAAAUCUCUAAAUUCACAGAAAAAUUAAAUUUGAAAGGGUAAAAAAAAAAAAAAAUCACGACUAAGGGCAUCUCCAAAGGUAGUAUCUAAACUACAUUUUUAGAGACUAAAAAUUAAAAAAAUAUUAGUAAAACAUGAAAGAGAAAAUUAUGGGUCUCUAUAUUAGAGAUUUUGGAACCUCACUAUGAACUCCUAAUCACACUUGUCACUUUAUUAUUUGCUUAGUUGUAUUUAAGUAAUAGAAUAUAAAUAUAUAAGUUAAAAUGUUAAUAUACUUUUAUUUUUAGAAUCUCUCACCAUCUCCCACCGUUGGAGAUGGUCUAAGUUACCACUAGAAGAAGUGUAGUGAAAUCAAACCCACGUUUCUAAAAAACCACUCCGAUAUAUAACAAACACAACUCUUUCCACAAACACCACUAGUCUCUCUCUUUAUCAUUUUCAUCAACUUCAUCAAACCAUAAGAUCAUCGCUGAGAUGAGCAAAGAUUCACCAAGAAUCGUGCCUGCGUCCACGUCCACAUCGUGGAAGUUUAAGGUUUCAAUGGAUCAUCAAGGGACGAUGAAGACCAAACAAUCCGGGAAAACAAGAAGGAACAAGAACAGGACCAAUACGGACAAGAAGAUGAAGAAAGAAGAGACAAAGAAGACAGAUUACAUCAGACCCAGAUUGGUUUUUCCAGUUCAGAAGGUGACUUCAGUGAUUUCAGGUAUCUUCAGCCGCAAGAAACCGCUUGAUGGUGAAAACAGAGAACAGAGAGAUGGUUCUGCAGAGGUUACUGAAUCUGAUGAAACCUUUUCUAUUAAAAACAAGCAAAACCCAAUUCAGAAUAAGGAGAGCUUUUGGGAAAUGGCAAGAAUUCGACUGGAGAUACUCAUCUUAGGUCAAAGAUUGAUGAAGACGAGAAGACAAAGAAGCUUAAGUGAGAGUAAGGGAGAAGAGGAGCUGUGCAAGAAGAGAAUACUAAUGGGUGAAAGAUGCAAACCCAUAAACAAGUCCGGUGUUUUGCAGUACGGUGGUGACGGUAUCCUCCUACCCGAUCCAUGACCUGUUCAUGUAGAAGUGUUAGUGUUAGUGUAGUUUCAAUUUCUUGUUGAUUCACUAAUUAGAAAUUUGCAGAGAGAUUAUGCAACUUAAUUCAUGUAAAAUAUCAAAGAGAAGUUUAUAUAUUUUUUGCCAUAUGAACAUACUACACAAAAUUCAUUAAAAAAAUGAAUCUUCUUAAACUGUUAAUGGGUUUACUCCUUGUUAGUCUUCACAGUUUCAACGAAUACAAUUCAAAUUAGAAAAUGGCUCUGGAGCUACCUUUGGAACAGCUUUCUUGACGGUCCCUGGUACUCCAAAAACAUUCCAAAGCCUAAGAGUCUCGUCUGCUGCUGCUGAAGCAACUGUACAACCAUCCGGACUCUGUGCCAUAUGCAGAACUCGUGACGUAUGACCAGUGAGUUCAGCCAUUUUCACCAUGGAUGGGUACUUCCAAAGUGUAAGCUGAUUCUGUGUAAACCCAUGUGAGCUAAGCAACUCUCUUUCAUUUUGACUCCAUAACAAUGAACAAACUUGGGAGCCGGUGCCUACUGAAUUCAAGCAAGCACCAGUGUGUGUGUUCCAGAACUUAAUACUCAUAUCUCCUACACCACCACCAGUUGCAAGCAAACUCGAUUGGAAAGGGCACCACGCAAGAGCUUUCACAGCAGAUGUGUGUUCCUCAAACCUAUGCAGCCAUUGUCUAGUUGAGUUUGAGGAAACCACAGAAUGAUCCCAUACGUGUACCACAUUGUCGUUACCACCACUUGCUAGUUGCUGUCCUGAUCCUGACCACUUAAGACCACAAACAUCUUGCGUGUGACCCACGUAAGUUGCCACAAUGGAUGAUCUGAUCCUCACAUCAUUGUUGAUGACCCGUCCAUCCAUACCUCCAGUAGUUAAGAUGUGAUUGUUCCAUGCCAAUGAUCCUACUCCUGACUGGUGACCACCUUUGAAUGUUCUCAGUUUACGUUUGGAUUUAGAAUCCCACAGCUGCACUUCAGAGUUUUCAAGACCAACUGCGAGAUUAUAGCCAUCUUGCGCCCAGUUAAUACUCGUGACAGGUCCGGUCUCUUCAUCAACGGUCACAAGCUCAGAUGUAGAGCCCUUGGAAGCAUCCCACAAGUAAACAGUGUGUCCCAAAGCUAUGGCAAGGACAUUAGCACUGCCCCAGUCCAACAAGUUAAGGUAGAAGUCAUCAACUAUGUCAGGUGCGUCCAAGGUUCUCUCACAAGUCUGAGGAAUGUAUCUACGAGGCUUUACGGAUCUAGGGUUUUGGUGAAGAAGAUAAGAAACAGAGCUAUUAUUACUAGAAAGCAGAGCUUGAGGUUUGUUUCUAAAAGCAAGAAUCCUUGUUUUAUUCAGAUUCAUCGUCUCAGCUAAUUGCUCCAUGUAGGCUUUUCUUGAUGGUGAAGUUACCUCAUCUUUAACUUGUCUUCUUCCUUCUGUAAGAACGUAGUGAGCAUAGUCAAAAUCCAUGGCGGAUCUGUUGGGUAUGAAUCUGUCUAAGUUGUCCUUUGAUUGUUUCCUGGGAAGAAAGUGUUCUUGAUUUUGACACCACGCCUUCAUACCUGUAUCCAUUUUUACUCUGCUUAACACAAAGAAACACAAAGAGAUUAGAGAAGAUAUCUAAAUUAGUAUACGAUGAUCAGAUUUAAAGAAUAUAUAGAAACAAACACAAAAGAGAUUAAACGAAAUAAGACAAAGAGACUAAUCUAAUAAAGCCCUGCAGAGAAAGAAACGUUAGUCAAUUCAAAGUUUGGUAACACAGAGAGAGAAGAGUUUCGUCAAGUCGCUGAUGAUGUGAGAUGAGAGCUAAUAAUAUGAUGGAGAAGGUGUCAAAUUUGUGAUUGUAUUUAUAAGAAACUAGUGUUUAUACAAUAUUAGGGUAUUUUGCUAACCUUGAUUUAAUAAUAUAGUUGUUUUUUACAACAACGGUUAUAUUGAUUUUAGUAACAUGGAAAUCAUAUCCAAUUUAGAUUUCCUCAUACAUAAAUGAAAAAAAAUAUAAAUACAAUUAUUGGAAAAUACAAGUGUUAUAUUAAUAAAAGUAUAUCAUUAUCCCUAUAUUAGUAAAAGAGAAGUACAAAAAGUGUUUCCGGGUCGGGUCAAUUUCAAAAAAUUACCCGAAAUUUGUAACUGGAUCUUUUAAAAUUGGAUAGAUUAAUGGGUUUGGAUACAUACACCGGAUACUUUCCAAAUCUAAUUUUAGGAUUGUAUUAUUUCCAUAACUAAUUAUAAGAUUUACUAAUAUUUCUCUAACUAAUUUAAUACAAUCUAUUUAAAAAAUAUUAUUCUUCUUUCACUUUUAUUUGAUAUUAUUUUUAAUUUAUGAUAUUAUACUAUAUAAUAUAAAUAUUUAAUAAAAAUUUAACUUUUUUUUCGCAUAUGUUGCAAUUUGAAUUUUCAAAACGGACAUAUAAUACUCAACNNNNNNNNNNNNNNNNNNNNNNNNNNNNNNNNNNNNNNNNNNNNNNNNNNNNNNNNNNNNNNNNNNNNNNNNNNNNNNNNNNNNNNNNNNNNNNNNNNNNNNNNNNNNNNNNNNNNNNNNNNNNNNNNNNNNNUAAAACUUUUAGAAUUUAAAAUAUCGAAAUAUUUUUUUGAAGAUAUAAAUGUAAUUUUUGGAGACAUAACUUUUAUUGAUAAAAUAUAUUAUAUAUCAAAAUAUGUAAAUUUUAGAUAAUUCACGGGUAAUUUGUUAAAAUCACAAUUAUAAUGAUAAAACGAGUUACGAAUAAUGUUUUUUACGAAAUGAAUUCUGUUACGGGUUGGACUUUCAAAAAAUAUAUUGUCAAUAUGUAAUUUUUACGUAUAUUCCUACUUUUACUACAAAAAUGCCAAAAUGAAUAAUUUAUCGACAAAUAUUAUUUAGUGCUGUUAAAUUUUCACCGUGUUUUUAAUUGUAUCAAAACUCAUUAUAUGAUUAUUUACUCGCUUUUUCCUUUAUUAUUUUAUUUAAACUUAUUAUACAAAUAUAUGAUUUACCGUAAUCGACUGCACUCUAACAAAAUUAAAAUGUAACAUAUUCUAAUCCGAUAAAAGUUAUAUAUAUGUAAUUAUUUCCUCCGCGCUGUAGCGCGGGUCCGGACCUAGUCAUUUAAUGAAGAGAAGAUACACUUACAAAAAAUGGAAAUUAAUUAAACUCACAGCUCAAAAAUAUGGAAAAUCUAAUUCUACAACGGUUAGAUUUGAUAUCAUAAUUAAUGUUUUUAGUAUAGCAAAUAUGGAAAAUCUAAUGCUACAACGGUUAGCAAAUAUGGAAAACAAUAAUAUAGUUCACUUCUAUAUAUAUGAUUUACCCUGAACCGUGUGUGUUACACUAUCAUCCCAAUUCUCUCAAAGUUUUUGUUUUUGUCUCUCUCUGAUAAGAAACUAACCCUAGCUUCUUCUCUGUUUUUUAUUUUGGUGCAAACAACAACAAUGUCGACGAAGAAGGAAUCGAAACUGUCUGUGAGAAACCAAACUUGUUUCAAGAAACCUUCGUCACUCUCUUCUGUUUCAAAAAAGAAGACCACUAUGAAUCUGUCUUUGAGAGAACAGACCAUGUUUAAGAAAGCCUCGGAGCUUUCAAUUCUCUGCGACAUCGAAGUCUGUGUUAUAUACUAUGGCCGUGACGGAGAACUCGUAAAGACAUGGCCGGAAGAUAGAACUAAGGUUCGAGACAUGGCAGAGAGAUACAGCAAACUAGACGAGAGAGUGAGACGCAAGAAAAGGACCAACCUUUCUCAGUUUCUGAAUAAGAAGAUCCUCAACGACAAGAAGACAUCUUUUGAUAACAAGGACAACAAGUUCUACGAGAAAGUCUUGGAGAUGCAGGCUUCGUUAGAGACUGGUCUACGGAUGUUACAAGAUAAGCUGCGGUUACUCCAACCACAGAACCAAACAGAGUCAGAUCAGUGUCGUGCGGUGUCUUCUUCUACCAAGGAUCCUCAUCAACAAUGGACAAAAACAGAGCAAGACUUAUCUACGUCAUCAUUGAGUCAACAUCAUCAGAGCAAAUUCUCAGUCUUUCUCUAUAACCAUGGAAACGGUAGCUUCUGUCAACUCCCUGACUCUGUUUCUAGCUUUGACCCAUCGACGAGUACAACUUUACUUGGGACACAAGGAUCUGGUUUAAGAAGUAACUGCAACAACUUUGAUCUUCCCAUGGUGUUUCCUCCUCAGAUGCAGACACAGUCCUCACUUGUCCACUUUGAUCAGUUUGCAGGGUGGACUCAGCCACCGUCGUCUUUUGUAGAUCCAAUGAUGUUCUCUUGUUACAAUUGAAUUAGGUCUUGUUCCACGAUAUGAUCUUUGAUUAGGUCAACGUAUUAUUAUUUUCUAUUAUGUAUGUAUUCUCACUUUUGAAGUUAGAUUAUCACUUUAACUCCUCUGUUACCAAAAACAGUCUCUUCUUGUAAGUAAUCCAACUUUAUAAUCCUUUGAAUUGUAUCAUUGUAUGUUUUCCUAAGUAUGAAUGUGAUGUUUUCAAGUUUCUAAAACAUUCUUGGCUUCUUCUACUUUUUGUCUGAGUUGUAAAUUUGAGAACUGUUAAGUCUGUUACCACAGUUUUGCAACUUGUUCUGUUUGCAUGUGAAGUUUAAGUCUAUCCUACCUGGAAAUAAUGCUGCCUAGACUUCUUGAGAGCUUUCAGAAUCUAACAUAAGAAACAUUUUUUGUUUGUAUCUUCUAUGCUAUUCAUAUCUCUGUGUGUUUGUGUAUUUAAUAACAGAAUUUGGAUGUGACCACAGACAAUGAGGAACUAACACUGGUAAUACAGCUGAGACAGAAACAAAACAUGAAUAUUGUAGAGAACUAGCUCUUUGAGUUAUCAAGAAACAUGUUCUGUAUUUGAGUUUGUUGUUCUAUGCUAGAUCAAGGGCGUGUCUUCAUGGAGAUCUUCUUACAUUACCUUGACCAUCUACCACUUUGGUCUAUGUCAUGAUUAGAUUCAGACUAACGUUUCUAGCUUGUUCCUUAUGUUGAAUUUGGAUUUGUGUGAGGUGAGGUAUGUGACGUUUGUCUAUAGCUUAAUUUAUGCUUGAACAGUGACCACGCUAAAAAAAGACAAACCGACCACAAUUUGACUCGUUGUUCUUUGCCCCUUGACCAAGGUAACUUACCAAAUUAUGAUUUGUCGGUACCAACAAGAAUCAUGUGGUUCAAGCUCUAUUGUCGCUUUAUUUCCCUAAUUUGUCUUUGUUCUUUUUACCUAAUCCCAUAAGAUCUUUUGCUAGCUUCUUUGGUCGUUUUAUAAAUAUUAGGUUCUCAACUUCUCAUUAGUGUCUGGUUCAACUCAACACCUACAACUUUGUUGAGAGACACGACCAGAUUAGAAUCAAGGGAGCUCGGGUUCAAGUCAGGUAAGUUCGUUUUUCAUCUUUAUCUGCAAAGUUUGUUUUGGUGUUUUAGUCUGAACCCAGUGAAAAUCUCAGUUUCAAAUUCAAGAAGUCGGUUUAUUGAACCGGUUCUGAAAGAAGAUAAAAAAUAAGUUAUGGGUAAAUAAUUAUGGGCCUUAUACUAACUUAAUGGGCUUUUUCCAAUAUCAUGCAACAUUUGGCAUAUUUCUUUUUCCCAUUGACUUUUUUCUUUACCCUACAGUUAUAAACCAGCCAAUGAAAAACCAUACAACAGUUUUGUCAAAACAGCAUAAAUAGUUAAACUCACUCAACAAUUAAUACUUCCAUAAACUUGUUUUACGAUUUCUUUUUUGUUCUUUAAUAAUUUUACGAAAAAUCUUUAUCAAUUGAGCUAUUAACACUUGGUUCCAACAGAUCCGAAACCAAAACAUGUUAUAUGGUCUCGUCCUAAAUGUUACUCGAAUCGGCGACUUCUAAACUUAAAUAUUUAUAUUUAUUUAGUUUCGCUAAAUUUAGUAUGUUUUUAAUAGUAGCUAGUUUUCUUUUUUGUCAUCGAUUUUUUUUUGCAAAUACAUUUCAUUAUCUUAGCCAAAAAAAAGUUUUAAAAACCCUAAAAAUGGCUAUAUAUGUACUAAGACUUGAGAGUGACUUAGCCGAGUGCACCGCCCCACAUAUGAUAACUCGUUGCCAUGUGUGGUAAGAGUGGAACGUUUUAUCCAUAAGAGUUCCUAAUAGACCUCGAGAUAACCGAAUCCAUCAUGAUGAUCAUGUGAUCGAUGGUUCUAGACUAGGUUCGGUUGCCAAACUAUGAACUUCCCAACCAAAAAUAUCGAGCAAUCUCUUUGCCCAGUGCGCACACCAACAAAGUCUCAUAUGUCCAUCACGUGUUUAUGCAUAGGUCAUAUGACUCAUUAGAGUCAUUACCGAACACGUAAUUGUUUUUUAGUUCCAUGAGAUUGGAAAGAUACGGAGAUCUCAUAAUCUAUUUUUAGCAUGUUACUGUUUUUAUUACUACACUACAAUGAAAUACAUACUUUGAAUGUCCAUUUUAAAAUGGUUUGAAUAUUCUUAUAUCCAAUAAUCCAACCUGUAAAAAAAAAACCCUUUUCUUUACUAUAUCAAUUUGAACUUUUUAUUUACACGUCCAAAAAUAUUUGUUUUAAAAAGGAUUUAUCAAAGAAGAGAGAUUUGGUGUUGCAUGAUUGUUGCCGACAUAUUGGGGAUUCAUUUCAUUUCAUCCAACGAAUGAAUCAGUGUUUCUUGUUUUCUUAUGCGUGUCCCACGACCGUCACAAGCGGUCACAACCACAGUAGUGUCCAGUCCCCAUAAUAAUUGUCCUACUGACUUAUUCUCCCUUUCUCGAGUAAUGUGAAACCCCUAAAGAGAGAGAUAGAGAGAAGAACCUUCAACGUCCAAGUUCGUCACGGCUUUAACUAAUUAUUGUGCGACCUGUCACGUUACGGUUUCCAAUUUCGGUUCAUUCCCUUGCUCUUCUUAAGUUGUCUUUCAUCUAAUCGGAAUUAGGUCAUCCUUAAUGGCAAGUAAGAUAUUCUUUUAAAGAAAUUUAAGUUCUAAGAAUUGCCAUUAAAGAUGGUCUAAUAGUUAUUUGAUGUAAUAAACAAAUCGAACUAGCUAAGCUAGCUACAAUAGUAAGCUACGUGAGUUUAGUUAACCGAAAUCGUCGAACUAAAUCGGUUUAUUUGGUCAUCAGAUAAUCAAAUCAGUUUGGUUCUCGGUUAUUUAAAUUCUACGAAAUUGAAUUGUUUUUUUCGAAGUUUCUCGGUUUAAAUUAGGAGAAUAGAAUAAAAAUGGUUAAAUCAAAUAAAAUUAAUUAAUUUAGUUCGAAUUGAUAUAAGUUUUGGUUAAAAAUAUGUUUAUUUUAUUUUUUUAACAUAAAUGGAUAACUGACUAAACCUUAAACCAAAUAUGACUCAAAAAUUUUCCGAAAUUGAACCGACUGCUAUACGGAUUAUGAGCAAAAAAUUGAACAAUAUGGUUUGGUUUAGUACAGACCAAUCGGUUUGGUUUAGUUCAGACCAAUCGGUUUGUAUGUAAACGCAGGCCUAAGCUAAGACCAAUCAACCCCUUUUGGUGAGUUGUGUCUAUUGCAGAAAAUUAAACUUUAUAAUAAGUUCAAAGAACGAAUAGUGUUAGAGAUAUUUUCGUGUGAUUGAUGAUUAUUUAUAUUACUUUUCUUGAAUCUCAAUCGAUCUUAAUCUAUAAAUUAUUUAUAUAUAUUUUACCUUUAUAGAGUAUUUCUUUUAUAGUUUCAAUGAUUUUAGGUAAAAACAAACAUGGCCCAUUUCACAUGUACGAUAUUAUAUGAUUGUUUUUUUGUUGUUGUUGUUGUAUAUAUAAUAAUAUACAUAAAACUGUUUAUCUAUACUUUAGGAAUUAGGAUCCCUUAUGAUAAACGUGUAUUGCUACGACCUACGUACUUUAAUAGUGUAUGUAUUUUUGCAUUGCUCAAACUCUUUUUUUGUCAUCUGAAUAUAUUUAUAAAAGCAAAAGUACAGAUUACAAAAGCCGGCAGAAGAACAACAAAUCCCCGGAAACCAAACCCCACAAAGGGGAGCAAAUGCCCAAAAGAGGAAAACAUAAGCCGGCGAACGACAGAAAUGUUCCCGAAGUCACACAGCCGGAGAAAAACGAAAUAUCCCCGGAUACUAAACCCAAUGGAAAAAGGACAUGAAAAUACAAGGUAAAUAUUUCAAACAGAUACGUAAGAGGACGAAACCAUAAACUAUGACAGAAGCAAGAGGCUAAAACCUUAAGCGGAAAGAAAGACUAAAGAACACAAGGACACACUUCUUCUGAACCACCUGCGGAUGAGAUUUAUUUAGGAUGCCCUCGGCCAAUCCUAAAAUAACAUCUACCUCCUCCUAUCACGACGAGAGCUGUUCUCUCGAAACCAAGAACCAGACUUCAGAACCCGACAAGCAAACCUAUGAGUUGAGAAAACCUCGAGCACGCUUUCGGAUACGACUACGACGACUGCCACGUCCAUUAAAAGUCUAACUAGAAAUCUUCAAAACGCGAUCCUAUCUAAACAGAUUCAGGAAAGCAAGGACAAGGAGGGAGGCCCAACCACUCAAAUAACAUCACUAACGAUGAAAAAUCGGGAGAGUUGUCAAACACAGCGAGUCAACACCAGGAAGAAGAAGCAGCUGCAAACUUAGCGGUCUAACAAUCCAAACAAACAAAUGUAACUUCUUCAUAGCAAGGAAACAUACCCAACAGAAUUCAGAGGUUGAGACGAGAUGACUAAGAGCGGGAAGAAGAGCAGCGACAGGACAAAACCUGACUAUAGCCCAGACGACACUCAACAAACGGCAUAGAGACUAUCAACACAAGAGCGACUACACAAGGGACAAAGCAAGCAAAACCAAGGCAUAAUUCUUAGAGCAGCACCGUAGAUCCUAUACAUCCGGAGCCAAGAGAAUUGCUAUAGCCAAGGGUCCCAAAGAUAAAGACGCUCCAACCGAACCCGCAAAACACAAAAUCAACCUCGAAGCAAACCAAAGAAAACCCACACGCAUGCCGAAGAUACUCACCCAAACCUAACAAAACGCCUCAUCUAAUUGAAGGAGAAAGGACCAGAUGGAAGCUUACCCGACCAAUAAACACACAAAAGUGCAGAAAGACAGAACCGAAAGCUUCAUCAAAGAGACGAAGACAACGCCGGAUCUGACAAAGAGAGAAAAAACUUCUCCUGAUACUGCUGAGGGAGAACGAACAGCGCUCAAAGCACCACCGAAGUAAACCUCACGGUAAAGACCAUCUAUUCAGCUGAGAAGCUAUCCACCACCGAUCCACCCGGAAAAAGCUGAGGCAACGCAAGAGUACAACCAAACAAAGAAAAACAGAGCAGAACUGUCCCUCUCACGGUUACGGCGAGAAGCGCCGAUCACCGGAGAGGACGAACGGGAAUCGUAUUUUGAUGGACGGCGGCUAGGGCAACUUCAAAGAGCGAGGCAUUGCUCAAACUCAAAUUGGCUUUCUUUAUUGUGCUAUUUACUUAUUUAAGAAGGUCCUCUCACUUGGAUUUUUUUAAUUAGUAAAUUAUACAUGUAAUGUGCAUGAUGAAAUUAAUGAUUACUAAGUCCAAUACAUAUAUUAUAUGUAUAUAUUGUUAUUACAUUAUAUAUAUAUAUAUUAUUGUUUUAAUAUUAACGUGUAAAACCUUUCAUUUCGAUUGUUUUAUACAUUAAAAAAUAAGAUGAAUUGACUCGUUCAAGAUUCGAAUAAUUUAUGCCUUUGAUUUGUUCAUUUGUUCGAAUAAUACGGUUUUGAGUUUUAAAUCAGUGAUUUAUAUAAGAGUGAAUAUAUUUUCAUAUUUUUUUCAAAUAGCUAUUGAGAGAAUAAAGACAUAAUUAUUUAGAUAAGCUAAGCAUGUCUUUUUGUAGCCACUAUAAAUGGAUGAAAUACUAUACUUAUAUGGUUUUCAACCCAAUGUAUACAAAACUAAUCUUGAUUUCGAUUUAAUAUCCAUGAAAUUUGCAUCUUACGGCAAAGAAAAAUGUGUAUAUAUGAAAAUGACAAGGAUGGUGCUUGAAUUAUAUAGACAAAAUUGAAUUUAAAUAAUUUUAAGACGAUUUUGUCGUUAUUAUUAUCUGUUUAUGGGACCGUUGAUUUAUCAAUGUACUAUGUUCUUUUUCAAUGUCGACUUCUUAUUUUUUUUAGAAUUUUCACAUAGUUUAAGUAAGAUAAAUAUCAAAGAAAAAAAAAAGAUAAAUAUCAAAGAGGUUGUAGAACUCUAAUGUAACAAAUUAUUUUAUCUACUUUUAAUCAUAUAAAUGGACGAAGUGUUAUUUUAAAGUUUUAUGUAGUUAUCUACUGCAUUAUAUAUUUAUAUUUUAUACAAUAUUGAAUAUUUAUUAUUUUAGAUUCUUAUAUAAUUAUGUAGUGUAUUAAUUAUUGAUCUGUUUAUACAACUAUAUUAUAUUUAAAUUUAACAUGAUUUCUUAUAGAGCAUGCCUGAUUUCUAACAUCUAUUGCUUUCUAUUAAUUAUUGCAAAAUUUCACUGAUUUUUAUUUAACGAGCCAAAAUUGUGACAAAUAAAUCAAUUACUUUUACUAUACUUUUUAAAAAGUUAUAUUGUCAAGUCAUUUCUAUCGACUUCAUGCUUUUUCUUACCCAUCUUUUUUUUUUGGUUGGUAGUCAAAAUCCACACCUAAACUAAUCGAAAACUUUAAAAUCUCUGAAUUAUUAUAUAUAUAUAUAUAUCAUAAAUAUUUCAUAAAAAGGAAAAUAAUAAAAAUUAUUUAUUCAAUAAUUCCUCACUAUUGCAGUAAAUAGUAUGCAACUCAAUUUUAUUAUUUUAUUCUUUACCGCAAAGCCUACAACUCAAUUUGAUAAGAGAAAGGCAUUUAAAUCUGAAAGUGAUUGUAAGAGAUUUUAUAUACUUACAAAAUUAAUAUAAUCAAACUGACAUCUGCAUAAGUUCAUAGACAAAGUGAAAGUUAUGAAUUUUAAAAUUAGUUUGAAUAUUGACCUAAAUUUUAAAAUAAGUUUGAAUAUUUUAUUCAUACGUAUACUAUAUAAUACAUCAACUAUACAAUAAUUAAAUAGAUUCACACACCCAUACAAUAUUUGUAUAUUGUAAUUUAUAUCGAUGUCGUUAACAUGGCAGAGUAUAGUUUCCCACGAUAAUCAUAUGACACAAUGCCAAAUAAAAUUAGCAAUAUCUUUCAUAACAAAUUUUUAUAUAAAUAAUAUCAAUGAUAACAUCAUAUAUGUUUUCCUAACUCUCGAUCGCUUACCUAAUUUUAUGCCAGUUAAUAUGAUUUAAGUUAUAAUAUUAUAUUGUAAUUGCUAUUAUUCGAAUAAUGAUAACUAACAACAUAAUGUUUUAAGAAAAUAAUCAAAGAACCCAUAACGGAACUGUUGACAUUCUCCAUGGAUAAUGCUAAAUAUCUAUGUCACUUUCUUAUUUUAUUUAUCUUAGUUAUGUAUAUAUUAUAAUUAGUUAAGUUUUGACUUCUGCUAUAGUUAAAGAAAGAAAAAUAUGCAAAUAAAAAUAAGUGAAGAAUCAACAAAAAAAAAAAUUCAGAAUCAACAAAUUAUUAUUAUUCAAAAAAUUCAGAAUUUUUUUUUUGUUUGGUUAUUUUUCUCGAAGAACAGUGAAUUUUUACUGAAUUUUUUUUUUUGGAUCUGAUUUAUUUGACCUUUGAUAUAACGAUUGGGACACCAGCCACCCAUUUCAUCAUGUACACAUUUUUUUUUCUUUAUUUCUGAUUUAUAAUAUCAGAAAUAUCAAAUCUCAACACCAUUAAAAAUUAUUAAGUAUUUUAACAAACAAACAAAAAAACGUUAUGGUUGACAUAUUAAUUUUUCAAUUUUAGUAUAAUCCCAAACAAUAUUGUUCUGAGAAUAUAUAUUACAAAUCAUACAUAAUCAACAAAAAGAUAUAUAGUAGAGAAAAAUGUAAUUAUUGAAUAAUAAUAAUUGUGGUACAUUUGAAAACAUUAUAAAAAUACAAACAUAAUCAACAAAUAUCUUGGAGAGAAAUGUAAUAAUUGAAAAUUUAUUAUAUGAUUUUUAUAUCAACCACAAAAGACCAAACCAAAGACGAUGUCGUGCUACUUCUUUGUCCUUUCUCCCUACCACAAGAUUAAAUAAAAUGAACAAGAGAGAAGAACAGAAGAACACAAACGUACCAGAAAAAAAUAAAUAAAAAUAUCAAUCUCUAUUGUUUCCUUCUCUUUGGAGCUUUAUAAUGGAUUCUGAUAUUUUCCUCUUGGCUUUGCUCCAUUAGCUUAAUCUUCUUCUUCUUCAGCCUUUGGGUUGUUAAAACGUCAUCUUUUUCUGAGCUUACGUCAUUUCUCCGGCGUGACACUUCAAAGGUCUCUCUCUCUCUCUCUCUCUCUUUCUAUAUCUCUUUUAGAGUUUAGACAUAUCUAUAGUAAGAAUCUGAUUGGUAUCCAAAUGCAAGCUUUCUUGAAUUCUUGGGUUCUGUUUUUUUCAUCCUCUCCUAUGUCUCAAAGUUAGAAAGUAUUAUAUAUCUUAAUCUAAUGGUUACAAAAAAUCAGAAAAGCUUUAAACUUAAUUUUGAAGCAAAAUCUAUGGGAUUAAGUGUGUUUGCUUUCUCUUAUUAAACCUUUUAGGGUAUUCAUAUGUUAUUAUAUAUUAUUUAUUUAAGUAUUAAGAAGAAACAAAGUUCUCUCAUAUGUGUUAAAAUUAGUUUUCCUGGAAAAAGCAAAAGAGAAGAAUCUUGGAAUCUUUGCAACUUGGUUUUCAUUUCCUUAUUAAGAAAUAUCUCUAGAUGUGUGUUUCUAUAAACAGAAACUCGAUUCUUUUUUCAUAUUUUUAUCAAAAAGAUAAAUCUCAUAAACUUGGGUUUCCAAUGGAAUUCCAUGUCAGACUUAUGAAUAUUCCACUAAUAUCUUUACCACUAUGACUCAUCUUCUUACGUUUAAGUUUCAACCUCUGUUUCUAAACACUUCUUGUUUCUCUUUUUAGCAGAUUCAAGAUCGAGUAACGCUUAACGAGAAAGAUUAGUCGUUGUUUCUUGAUAUUUUCAUCUUUUUGGGGUGAUUUAAAAAAUGGGGCAUUUCUCUUCGAUGUUCAGUGGGUUAGCUCGAUCAUUUUCUAUAAAGAAAGUGAAGAACAACAAUGGAAACAACGACGCAAAGGAGGCUGCUGAUGAGAUGGUGAACGAUGCGAAGAAGAAACAACUGAUUCUGAAAUCCUCUGGUUAUGUUAAUGCAGAAGGAUCUAAUAGCUCGGCUUCAGUUUUCUCCAAACGCGGCGAAAAAGGCGUUAACCAAGAUUGUGCUCUCGUUUGGGAGGUACAUUACUACUCUCUUAAGUUACUAUUUGAGUUUGCAUAUUUGUUUGUUAGACCACUAGGUUCUUUUAGAUGUUAGCAACUUAAUAGCAGCUAGAUUUAUGUAAUCCUUUACGCGAUUUUACCGCGUUAUGAUUAUGUUUAUAUAGCCUUCUCUUUGUGUCUUUUAAGUACUUAAUUUUCACAAUACUCUUAUGAUAAAGUACUUGUUAUAGUAGAAAUGUAGAAGUCUCAUUUUAUAUAUCUUUGGAAAAACAGGGAUUUGGGUGCCAAGAAGAUAUGAUCUUCUGCGGUAUAUUCGAUGGACACGGUCCAUGGGGUCACUAUGUAGCCAAACAUGUAAGAAACUCAAUGCCUUCAUCACUUUUAUGCAACUGGCAAAAAAUUCUUGCUCAGAAAACACUAGAGCCCGACCUCGACCUCGAAGACUCUAAUAAGAAACAAUCAAGAUUCGAGAUAUGGAAGCAAUCCUAUCUCAAAACAUGUGCAAUGGUUGAUCAAGAACUUGAACAACACCGCAAGAUCGAUGCUUACUAUAGCGGCUCAACUUCUCUAACCAUUGUUAGACAGGUAAAACUUAAAAUGAAAUAUUAACUUUUUUUGAUAAUUUUUAUAUGUUGUUUACUGAUGAAUGGUUUCUUGGCUUAUGUAGGGUGAAGUUAUUUAUAUAGCAAAUGUAGGCGAUUCAAGAGCGGUACUAGCCACGGUUUCGGAUGAGGGAAGCUUAGUUGCGGUUCAGCUCACCCUCGAUUUCAAACCGAAUCUACCACGUUAGUUUUCUCAACCCCUCUUAGAAAUCCUACCUUACUAUGUAGUAAAAAUUGUAGCAUUCAAAACAUGACUCUUAUUUUAGUAUACCUUUGAGUCUAAAUUCUUAAAUUUGUUUUGAUCUGAAAAAAAAAAACAGAGGAGGAGGAGCGGAUAAUCGGAUGCAAAGGGCGGGUAUUUUGUCUAAAAGAUGAGCCGGGAGUUCACCGUGUGUGGCAACCAGACGCAGAAACCCCGGGGCUCGCAAUGUCGAGAGCGUUCGGUGACUACUGUAUCAAAGAUUAUGGAUUGGUCUCAGUCCCUGAAGUCACUCAAAGACAUAUCUCUACUAAAGACCAUUUCAUCAUCUUGGCUAGUGAUGGGGUAAAAAAUACUUACUAAACCUUUAAACAAACAAAAUACUGCAUAGUUAAACUUAUAUACUCUUUUGGUUAAUUGUGAUUAUACACCACUCAUUUAUUAUUUAUAGGCAAAGUUUUUAACCAAUCUUUGGUUUAAAUAUUAUAGAUAUGGGAUGUGAUCUCUAACCAAGAGGCUGUAGAGAUCGUCUCCUCAACGGCUGAGCGGCCAAAGGCGGCUAAGCGGUUAGUACAGCAAGCGGUUCGAGCUUGGAAGAAAAAGAGACGAGGAAUCUCGAUGGACGAUAUGUCUGUGGUCUGCCUCUUUCUCCAUUCUUCUUCAUCUUCAUCUUUAUCACAACAUGUUCAUCAUGCCACCAGUUUGAAGUAAAAAACAUUGCUUUGUAAAUAGAUCAGAGAUAGCCUUACAUUUGUAUUCAUUUUGAAGUUCAACAAAAUGCGUUUUUUGGUCGCAGCCAUUAUGAGUUGAUUUAUUGUCUCAUUGUUUGUAACUUGAUACCCAAAAGAAAGAACAGAACAAUGAAGUAAACCAUAAGAAAAAGGCCCUUAGAAAAAAUUAAAACUCUUUACAACCAAAAUGGGUUAUUUUCAAUUAUAAUAUAGUUGGUCCAUUAGUUCUAAUGGACUAAAGUGGGUAUGUAAUGUUGGAUGUCUCGUUUUCAAUUAGUGGGCUUUGGCUCGAUUUGGUUUCUUUCCAUUGUUAGCAGUUGAAUUUGUGAUGUUGAUGUUUGAUCCAAUAUGUAUUCUAAACCAAUGAAGUAACGUUUUUGUUCGACAUUAAAAGGCAAAAGUAAUCUUACGUGGAUUUGUCCAAGUUAUAUAUAUAUUUACACUUGUUAGUAUUUUACUGUUUUUAGAUGCACACAAUAAUUAGUGUGAUGAUGAUAGCUUUUUUAAUUUUCGAUUUUUUGAUGGAUCUCUGUUUUUGUUUUAUCUACUCCAAUAGAGACAGGCAUGCAUGGUUUGGUUGUUGAUUUUCAAGUUUCCGUAGUUUUAAUAAUGUCAAAAUACAGUUUAUAGGGCUUCUUUUGUUUCGUCGCCCUGUAGCAAAAGCUAUAGAUUGUUGUUUGUUGCCGUCGCCGCGGUUUUAAUCGUUGAUGCUGAAUUUAAUCGACAUUCAAAAUUUAUAACCGCAGAUAGAUGCAGUCAGGGGCGGAUCUACAGUGUGUUGAGGUGUGGCACAUAUCCCAUACUCACUAUUAAUAAACGUUCACUUCAUUACCAUACUGCAAUGUUUACUUAGCUUAUUUGGUUAUUCGUGCCCCAUGCAGUGAUGAAACGCUAAAUUAGAAGAGUGAAGAGUGUAAACAUAUAGAUUGCAUUGUUACAUGCAUUGUGAUAUAUAGAAGAGUGUAUCUAAAUUAGAGAGGUUAUUCAGUUAAUGUGAUGUUAAAGAUGAAUUAAUUAGCACUUAAUCAAACCAAAUCAAUUGUUAUACUUAUACUUAUACCUAGAUGCAAACUACAAUGCCCAACCAUUUCAAAACCGUAUUAGUAUAUACAACAUCCAAUGUUUCUCUAUGUUUGAAUCUACCUAAAAAAAAUAUAAACUUAGGCUACGUAUGGUACCAAAUGUGAUGGCAUAGAACCGGCCGGUUUGAUCCGAUUUAUCCAAUUUAAUCUACUCAACCAAUGGUACAAAAGCGUUGCUAGGACAAGAGAACCUAAAACAGCAAAUGUAAUAUACGAUGACUCCAACCUUAACACAUAAAAUGGUAACAGAAAAAUGUCAAGUAGCCGAACACAUGCCAUAGAUUCGAUACCAAAUUGGAAAAAUAUUGCAAAAUCAACAAAACAGGUGCACAUAUAAUUGUAUUUGAAACUUCUAUACAGACCAAAAUAUUUGAGGUGACACAAUGAGCAUAGAUUCGUAUUCUUUGUGUUUGGAAGACAAUGAACUCAUUUUUGCAUUUGAUGUCAUCAUAUGAACAAUAUCUACAUAUUCGAUGAUGUCUAGUCUCAAGACCAACACAAUGUGAUCACCUAUCAUAAGUUCCUCCCCUAUAUAAAAACCCUCCACAACUCUUCACCUUGUUCUAAAUCAAUCAAUGUAGUAUCAUCUUAUGAAAAAUACAUGCAUCACAUCAUCAUAUCACCACAUACGUAAAUAUUUUCAUUUUCGUCGCGGUUUAUAAUCUUGUAUAUAUAUAUUUCUUAUUCUAAAAUCUAUCGUUAAUUAAGAUUUUCGAUUCUUGUUCUUUAAUUUUGUUUUUCUUGAUUUCUAAUAAUGUAUUUAAAUUUUAUUGUGAAUCUAUUUUCUGAAUUAAAAAAAAAUGAAAUCGGAAUAUCGGAUUGUAUGAAACACAGAUUAAUAUAUGAUAAAAAUGAUAUAUAAAUGUAUAAAUAUUUUAUGUGACUAAUAUUUAAAAGAGGAUAUGAAAAAUUAGCUAGGUCCAAUUUUUAUAUUGGUCCUCCCCAAAGCAAAUUGGGUCAAGGAAGUGAAGUCAACGAAGUAGAAGGAGAACGUGAGAGGUGCGAGAAUCUCUCGCAACUUGUAGAGGUAAGUCUUUUCACCUUUGUCGUCAUCCUUUUGAUUUAGGCUCAAGUCGGGUAGAUCUUAUUCUGGUCAGGUUCUAUCACACACCCACCUAUCUACAUUUUAUUAUUGCAUUUUUUAUUUAUUCUCUAUAGUAAUAGUAUAUGUAUACAUCAUUUAAAUAUUUGGCAUUCAUAUCCAAAAAAAAAAAAAAAGGUAAUGUGGACUGAUCCACAUUAACCACAGUGCUAUAGUUUAAUCUUAGUUCUUUUUUUUUAAGGGGUCAAACUCCUCAUUACUCAUUAAGCUUAUAAUUGUUUUUGGCUAAUUUCAUAAAUCUAUAUAUAUAUAUAUAUAUAUAUAUAUAUAUUAUGAGAUUUAUUUUUCUAAUUUUUUACAUUAGGGCACCUACAGUUUACAUAUGUUUUCCAUGAGAGACUUAACUUUUUUUUUUUUGUCAUCAACUUAACUUAAUUAACUAGCAAAACGUUUUAUUAGGUUUGGCCAAAAAAAUAAAGUUUAAUUCAUUUAUUUAAUUAAAAUAAUCCAUUAUUUGUCCUUUAGAUCCACAUUAAUUCGAGGUUAUAAUAAUAAAAAAAAGAUAGGCAGUAUUGUUAUUAACAUUAACUGAAAAUAAUUGUGAGAUUCAUAAUUUCAAAGAUGGUUAAUUACACUUUUUUUUUUGUUUUGCUUUAAUUUUUUUUAUAUAUUUAUCUAAACUUUAAAAUUCCUCAAACUACCACAUAAAAUGAUUCCUAAUUACAUUUACGAACUCAUUUUAGAAAAUUCCGUCUAAUAAACCUCAUAGCAAGAUUUCUGUGGUAUUUUGGAAUUUUAGGAUUUUGGUGGUAAAUUAGGAAAACAAAACGUAUAAAGUGGUGGUAGUGUAUAUAAAUCUUCAUAUUUGAACUAUAUUUAAAACUUUAGAAAGCUAAUUAAAUCAACGAAAAAAAAAAUCAAAAUGUCACAUUUCAACCUAACUACAUUUUGAUCUUUCGUUAGCUUAAUUAGCUUAUAUAUAUAUAUAUAUAUAUAUAUAUAUAUAUAUAUAUUUAUUAAUUUCUGGUGUCAUGCAUUUAAUCCAUCCAAUAAUUGGAAUUCCAGUAAGCAGCUACUAAUUAUUGAAACAGUCUCAGCCAUUUCACCAAUUAUGAAUGAAAUUAUAAACUAAGAGAUUCAUACUGAGAAUCUAAAUAUUUGUUAAUAUUAAGUGGGCAGCCUAUAAUUUUAUAUUUAACAUUGAUAAAAAAAUAUAUAAAUGUGAAAAUUAUAUAAAAGUUCCAAACUAAUCAAAUCUUAUAUUUAGAUUAAGUUUGUAUUGACAGGUGGUGGAACAAAUAUGAGUUUUUUAUAUGCUAAUCAGAUAAAAAUAAAACUCAUAUUUAGUUCUACCAACUGUUAAAGCACACAUUAAUCUGAUUAAGAUUUCCAAUAUUCACACACACACAUCAAAACCAAUAAUAUCUCUCUAAAUACAUUUUUUUUUUGAAAAAAACUCUCUCUAAAUACAUGUGAUUAUUCAUAUAUAUAUAUAAACACGUCAAAAAGUUUCUACAACGCCUCCAUAAAGUCUAUAUGCAAGAUCCAUAAUUUUUUCUAGGGUAGGCAUUAUUUGAUCUCCACCAAAUUUUAGUCACGCUAACGUAUUCUAUAAAACGUAUAAUCCUUAUUUCAAUUUAUCCAUUGAGAAAAUUCAGAGAUAUACAAUAUGGUCACGUAUGCAAUGUCUUUGUCUAUCUAAAAAUAAAAAAAAAUUGUCAACUUCUUAAACACCCGUACACCAAGUACACCUACAAAUCUCAAUAUGUACGCAUUAAUUUAGAGCUUGGAAAAAAAAGUAUUCACUACUUAAUUUGUCUACUUCUAUAAGAACUUAUCAACAACAUAUUUGCAUGCAAAUAUAUAUACAUACCCUUAUCUUAUUCUUAUGAAUUAUGAUAAAUAUAUAUAUAUCCAGCGAAAGUCCCAACGCAAAGCGGCGUGGUCUAUGAUAUAUAUAUACAUGACGUUUGCACAACUUUGGAAUAAACACUCAAAUUAGAGUUUAAUGAUUCUAUUGUUUUAAUGUGUUUAAACUUUAAAGUAUACUUACCUAACUAAUUAACUAUAAUUGCAUUUGCACGUCAUCGUUUUUAAAUAAAAUUAGCAAUUUUGUAUAAAGGUUCCAGAUCGUAAAAACCCUACGAUCGAUCUGACACGACGAUCUCGCGUACUAUCCACGUCAGACAAUCGAAUAUGCUAUUUAUUUUUUCUCUUCAUUUCAUUUUUAAAUAAUAUGUUCAGAUUUGAUUUUAAAAAAUAAUAAUAAUAAUACUAUCGGAAUUUUUAUCAUAUAGUUUUUUGGAGUCAAACAGAUAGGUACGGUCGAUGCACGUUAUGUAGGACCCGCAAACUGGUACGAAACUAAUCAUCUGCUACAGAUCUUACGAUACAUCCUCCAUUAAUAACCAAUCAUAUAUCGCCACGUGGAUAACUAACCAGGUGUUAACAGAUCAUUUAACAGUUGAGUUUCUCCGUACUCCAGGGGUGUUUUUGUCAUUUCAGCUUCUUACGUCAUCUUCUUCGUUGUUUCUUCUUCUCUUUUAUAUUGAAACCUCGAAAGAGAAAAAAAAGAAAAGUGAGAAAAAUUGAAACUUUCCUCACCGGAAAAAAAAUUCCGAAAGGUGUGUGACUGAUCUCAGAGUAAUGAACCCGAAUUUGAUAACCGUUAACCGAAUUCGGAUUCUUGAAAAACCGGUUCACCAUUCUUUACUCUAUCUCCGAGCUGUGUUCCUCUUCAUCCCGACUUAAAACACAACACAACCAAAAAGCUUUAAACUUUCUGAAUUAUAGAUCAAACCCAUUUUUUAAUUUUCCCUCUAAAUAAAAAGUUUCUUUUUUUUUGUUUUGUUUCUGUUGCAAACAUUUAAAUGUCGAUGUCUACAUCAAUUUUAUCCGUUUUGUCUGAAGAUCUUCUGGUUCGUGUCUACGAGUGUUUAGACCCACCGUGUCGGAAAACAUGGCGUUUAAUCAGCAAAGAGUUUCUCCGAGUCGACUCGUUGACUCGUACAACGAUCCGUAUCCUCCGAGUCGAGUUUCUCCCGGCGCUUCUCCUCAAAUACCCAAACCUCUCUUCCCUCGACCUCUCCGUCUGUCCUAAACUCGACGACGACGUCGUUUUACGUUUAGCAAUGGACGGCACCGUUUCAACGCUACGUAUUAAGUCACUGAACCUGAGCCGUUCAACCGCGGUUCGAGCCAGGGGACUUGAGACUUUAGCGCGUAUGUGUCACGCUCUUGAGCGCGUCGACGUGUCUCACUGUUGGGGAUUUGGAGAUAGGGAAGCGGCGGCGCUCUCGUCUGCUAAGGGGCUUAGGGAGCUGAAGAUGGAUAAGUGUUUGAGUUUAAGCGACGUUGGUUUAGCGAGGAUCGUUGUUGGAUGUAGUAAUCUCAAUAAGAUUAGUUUGAAAUGGUGUAUGGAGAUCUCUGAUCUUGGGAUUGAUCUUCUCUGUAAGAUUUGCAAAGGAUUGAAAUCUCUUGACGUCUCUUAUCUUAAGGUAAAUGGCAUAAAUUUCAAAACUUUGUUUGAAUUUGAUGGAGAUUGGAUUCAAAGUUUCGAUCUUUGUAGUGAACAAAGUGAGAUUGGCUGAUAUGUAUAGUUUUGUUUGUGAAUUUUGAUUCAGGUAACGAAUGAUUCGAUCCGGUCUAUAGCUUUGUUGCCAAAGCUUGAGGUUUUAGAUAUGGUAAGUUGUCCUUUGAUAGAUGAUGUUGGGUUACGGAUUCUAGAGAAUGGUUCUCCUUCAUUACAGGUGUGUUACUUUGUCUUCAUAACACAAAGCUUUUGAUCAAUUCAUUUAUUCGUAUCUUUUAAUAAAGUUUCAAGUGUUAUAAACAGGAGAUUGAUGUCACGAGGUGUGAGCGUGUGAGUUUAUCUAGCUUGAUUUGUAUAGUCAGAGGCCAUCCUGAUAUUCAAGUCCUUAAAGCCAGUCACUGUGUAUCAGUAAGUUUGCGAUUGAGUCCUUGAAUUAGUCUAGUUUACUUGGAAAAUGCACUCUUUAAUAUUUGUGAUUCACUUCACAGGAAGUCUCUGGUAGCUUCCUAGGGUACAUCAAAGGUUUAAAGCGUUUGAAGGCUAUAUGGAUCGAUGGAGCUCGUGUUUCUGAUUCUUCUCUUGUAACAUUAAGCUCUAGUUGUAGAUCUUUAAUGGAGAUUGGAAUGAGCAGAUGUGUUGAUGUAACGGAUAUUGGGAUGAUGGCACUUGCACGCAACUGUUUGAACCUGAAAACCGUAAAUCUAGCAUGCUGCGGGUUUGUAACAGAUGUAGCCAUCUCUGCUUUAGCUCAGACUUGCAGGACUCUGGAAACUUUGAAGUUAGAGUCUUGUCAUUUGAUUACCGAAAAAGGUCUUCAAUCGCUCGGAUGUUACUCCAAGCUUCUUCAAGAACUCGACCUUACUGACUGUUGUGGCGUAAAUGACAGAGGUAAAAGCAGAUAUAUAUGAACUCAACUCGUUUGUGUGUUUAGAUCUUAUCAGCUUUGGUAAUCUUAUGGUUUUUGGGAAAUUUUACCGCAGGGCUAGAAUAUAUUUCAAAGUGUUCAAAUCUUGAAAGAUUGAAACUUGGCCUCUGCACAAAUAUCUCAGACAAAGGGAUUUUUCAUAUUGGUUCCAAAUGUUCAAAGCUUCUAGAACUUGAUCUAUACCGGUAAAGUUCUUUUCUUGGUAGAUUCUUGAUCGAAAAUGUUUAAGACAUGGUUCUUUUUCUAAUCGAUUCUGUUUUUUUGAGUGCAGCUGUGCCGGUUUUGGAGAUGAUGGUUUAGCAGCUUUAUCUCGAGGUUGCAAGAGCUUGAACAGACUCAUUCUAUCCUACUGCAGUGAACUAACUGACUUUGGGGUUGAACAAAUCCGCCAGCUAGAACAUUUAAGUCACCUUGAACUCCGAGGGCUAAAGAAUAUAACCGGUGUUGGUUUAGCUGCAAUAGCGUGCGGCUGCAAGAAAUUGGGUUACCUGGACCUGAAACUCUGCGAGAAUAUCGAUGAUUCGGGUUUCUGGGCAUUAGCUUACUUCUCAAGAAACCUACGACAGGUAAAAAAAAACAAACACUUUUAUACAGAGAAGCAUCAGUUAGCAACAUAUUUGAUUCUUUGUGUUGUGUGUUUUGUUUGGCAGAUAAACUUAUGCAAUUGCUCGGUGUCUGACACGGCUUUAUGCAUGUUGAUGAGCAAUCUGAGUCGGGUUCAAGACGUUGACUUAGUUCAUCUAAACCGCGUGACUGUAGAAGGGUUUGAGUUUGCGCUAAGAGCCUGUUGCAAUAGGCUCAAGAAGCUUAAACUACUCGCACCUCUCAGGUUCUUGCUCUCAUCGGAAUUGCUAGAGAUGCUUCAUGCUCGUGGUUGCCGCAUUAGAUGGGACUGAAGAUGUAAAGAAAGAUAUAUGUUUCUUGCUUUGCUUAGACUGUUAUAUACGUUUUAGGUGUUUAUAAACUCAACGUUAAAAUAAGUAAAACGUUAGUGUGGAUGUUUGGUUUGAGCUUUAAGUUGAUGGUGUCUUAAAAAGUUUUUGCCCACUGUCAAAGUGGCAAGAGUUUAGUAUAACAAAUUGAUGAAAACAAAGCUCAUUUUUAAUUUUACAUUUUUUAGAAUUUAUUUAUUUUAUUAGAGUUUAUUUAAUAAUAAUUAUUAAGAUUGUAUGAUACCAAUCUUAAUUAAAUCAAGUUGAUUCGACAAGUUUGAUAUUGAUGUUAAAAAAUAAUAACUGAGGAUUUGAACUGUAUUGAAUUAUCGGAUUAAUGAUAUUUUAUUAUUUUCGUAGUAUUAAAAAAUCAAUUUUUUAGAUGUUUGAGAAUUGAAUUCAGUGGCUAAUCAAUGUAAAUAAGUUUGAAGUUGAGGAUAUAGUUUAUAUUUAUACUGCAAAAAAUACUAGUAUAGAUGUCCCUCCUUAAAUCUGAAAAAUUUAUAAAGUUUAUAAGUUAUUUAUGAAUUGUAACUACUACUCAAAACCUAUCCAAGUAUUUACAAGGUUUUGUAUUUAUAAGAUUAUAUAAGGUUUUAUACGGUAUUUAUAAAGUUUGCAAGAUAUUUAUAUAAAGUAUUUGUAAGGUAUUUUAAUGUACAUAUAAGGUUCUAAGCACAAAUAAAUUUAGUUUGUGUAUGAUUUCGUAAGGUUACAUGCAUAUUUAAGUAAAUCUCAUAUUUUUAGACGUAUUUUUUAUAAGGCUUUAGAGAAGGAGUAUUUUUGGAAAGUGGUAUGAAAAAUGAGUGUUUUUUCUUUUAAUAUCCACUCAUAAGUGUGGGUUUUUACAUCCGUAGUUUUCUUAUAAGUUACAUAAACUGAAUUAGGUUGAUGAGAUAAUACUUUUAGUGUCUUUUAAUCAUUUUAAUGAAUUUCUAAGUUUUGGCUAAGCAGUUUAUCCCAAAGUUUUUUUUUCUUAUUAAUUGAUAACUAAAUGAUUAUUUUAUAUUAAUUACAAAAAGUGUUACCUUUAAAUGUAUUAUAUUUGUCUUAAAUAAACGAUAAAUUUAAAUCAAAUUCAUUGUAGCUAAUCGUACAUAUAUAUAUAUAUAUAUAUAUAAUAUUUGAAAAGAUGAAACAUAUUCUAUUAGCAUAUUAUUUAAUGUUUAUAUUCAAAGAAAAGUUAAUAUUGAACUAUAGUUUUAUUGAUUUUAUGUUUAUAUAUGCAAUUAAUGUCAUAUAUCAAUUACUUAGAUAAGUAAUAACAAAUACAUGAUUUUUUCUAACUAAAAUAAAUAAAUAAUUAAUAAGGCAUAGUGAUGUGUCAAGCUGUUGAGAGCACCAUUCAACUAUUAAUCUACUAUAUACAAUUGGAUUUAUAACAACACAUUCAUGUUUAGGUUAAAUAUUAAUUAAUCAUGAUUGUAAAUAAUGGUAUCUCUAAAAUAAUCUAUACAAUCUACACUUUUAUGUGUAAUAUUCUUUUUAGUUGGUGUAAGUUAAUUGAUACAAUAUAAACAUAUGAUGUUUUUGUUCUAAAAUUAUUUGAAUCCAAGAAAGUCUAAUAAUAAUAAUUCUUAUGUCGUAAGUCGUAAAUAAGAUUUACUAUUGUUUGUUUCUAUCAUGUUCCAUAUACAUUAUCCUAUAUUAAAAAAUACACAACAGAAAAUGAUUAAAUAGUUCUUUUUAUAUUUUUCAAAAACAAAUAUAUUUAAUGGAACAUUUGAUUUGCCUAUUUUUUUCAAGAAAUAUUUUUAUUAGGAUAAUAUAAUACUAGUCAUGUUUUUAAGUUAUAAAGUAUAUAAAAAAUUGACUAUCUUUUCUCUCUUGACUCUUAAUUAUUAUUGUUAGAUGAAUGUUAAUAAAUUUAAUUAUAUAAUUCAUUUAUUUUUUUUGUCGCCAUUAUUCAUUUAGUUUAGAAAAUUUUAUGUGUACAGUGAUAAUUUUAUUUGUAUUCAUUAACAAUAUAUGUAUAUAUGUACAUACAAUGGAAAACAAUAUGUAUAUAUAUAUAUAUAUAUAUAUAUAUAUAUAUAUAUAUAUAUAUAUCCAUAAAUGAUAUCUUUAUUAAAAAUAUAUAUAAUUUAGAGUUCUUUAAUGGCAUGAAUGAUAAAAAUGAAACAUUAAUAUUGUACUAAAAAUGAUAUUUAAUUAUUAAUAUAUGUUUCUAAAAUUAUAUAAUACAAUUUUUGGUUCCCACUUUCAAAACUUAACAAUAAAAAUAAUAAUUUUUAUUAUAUAAUUUAUUAUAACUUUAACUGAGCUCUCCAUUUUUAUUAAAGACUUAGUUAUUACAAUUACAAUAAAUGGUAGUACAAGGAAACGUCCCAAAUCUGACGACUAUUUUUAUAAAAAUACAUAAUCUGAAAUUUCUCAAUAGUAUUAGGAAACUAUUAAUAUCUACUAACAUUUUAGAAUAGAUUAAAUAUGUAGUAUUUGAUGAUAUUUAAUACACGUGGAAAAACACAUAUACUAGGCUAAUCCUUCAUGAAUAUUAAUAGUAUAACAUUUAUAACAUUGUAAUAAUUUUUUUUAAAAUGAUAUAAUCUGUAUCAGAAAAUAUGUAUAUAUAGAGUAAAAGCUCUAUAAAUUGAUAAGGUUGGAAUUAUUAUAUUUUAUUAAUUUGUAAAGUUAUUGAUUUAUCGGAAUAUUUAUUUCUCCAAAUAAUCCCGUAAGAAUGUACUGAUUUACCGAAGUGUUAAUUUAUAGAGGUUGAUUCGUAUUAUUAAUAAAGAGGGAUAUAUAAAUGUGAAGUGGAACUUAAACACUUUAAAUGAAACAAGAAAAUCUCUUUUUUAACAUAAAUAAUAUCACAAAGGAAAAGAAAUACAUUGUAUUACGAAUUAAAUCGAAAAACGCAAAUAUUAUUAAUAAUAAAUAGGAUUACAUGUGAAGAGAUAAAUCAAGUCCCCAGUCUCUAGUAUCAUUCAUAAUUGAACUGUUUUCUCCCAGUUUUGAAGUAAGAUUUACCGAUGAGUAGUGGUCACGACUUCCAAUGGUUGAAAUGAGAUUCCUAGUAUACAACUCCGGGAUAUGAGCAGCAUUGCCACGAACAAGAUUUAGUGAUAAAUCACGUAAAAAUGAGGUUGAAUGACAUGAUGGAGGAGGGGAAUCAAAACUCAUGGUCAAACAACCAUGUUUAGAACUGUAACGAACGUUCUUAAAUGGUUCCACAUCUGGUUUGGGUAGAGAAACAUCAAAGAAACAACCAUUAGUAGUAUGAACGUUAUUGAAAGACAAGUUAUUCAAAGAUCGACCAACUUGUGAAAAUCCAGGGCAUCGAUCAAGGUGGAAGAGGCUAGAAUGCUCCUUCUCCAUUGCCUUAAACUCUAUAUUGUGAGAAAAUAUGUUUGUGAGAAAAUAACUCAAUAUAGAUUGCUUUUAUAAAGGUUUUUUUCAGACAAUAACACAUUUGAUGAGAGAAAGACUAUCUCCUAUUUGUUAGUCUCAAGAAAUAAGCGGUCUUAAUUAAGCUUAGCAUUUUUGGUAUAAUAUCUUUGGGGUUUAACAAUCAAAUUAAUUUCGUGAAACUGGCAAAAGUUAUUAUGAAAUUAUAUAGAAAAAAAUAAGGCUGAAUAUUAACUCUCUUCCUUAAAAUGAUAUUUUAUGUGCUAGUAUUAAUUUUAUAAUGUUUGGUAAUAUUAAAUGUACAGCUAAUUAUUACUCAGUUAUUGAUUUAUAUGAGUCAUAAUACUCAAUUAUUAUUGAUUACAUGUUAUAAAUGAGUCAGUCACAUAAAUUAAUAAUGAUAGUUGUUAAAAGAAAAUACAAAUUAAUAAUGAUACAUUUAUGUUGUUUAUUUUAGUGAAGAUAGGACAAAAUCUUAGAUUUAAAGUUCCUGUGCCUUGGGAAAAUAUUAGUAACCCAAAAUCAUUUAUUAGUUGAGAAAAAGUUGUUUGUUCUUAGACAUUAAAAUUCAAUCUUCCAAAAAACCAAUAAUUCAAAUAUUGAAACAAUCCGACCCAUUUUCUCUUUUAAAAUUAAGAACUGCAUACUAAUUAAUUACCAACAUCAACAAACAAAAUGGUCCUAAAGUUUUUAAAGUUUUGUUUGAUUUUCGGAUAAAAUGGUCAAGUUUCAUUGGCUUGGCUAUUUCGGGCAUGACGUUAAACAUUCACAAUAAUGACAUACUGUUUAUAUUUUGUUAUCUAAUAAAUGUAAUCUCUCUUAGUUUUUGAUAUAUUAGUCGUAAAAUAUCACUCAUUGCUUUGUUUCAUAAUUUUUUUUUGUAUUUCAUAUUUGUCUUAGUUUUGUUAUUUUAAAUAAUAAUUAUUGUAUUUAAUAUUUUUUUAGUUUUAUAUUUAAUAAUCAUUAUUGUAUUUAAUCGUAAUUAUUGAACUUAAUAUUCUUUUUUUUUUUUUAAAACCGAUUCAUUCAUUGAUUUCAAAUCGAAUACAUGAGUUGAUACAAUGGUAAUACAUCAAUAGAAAACAAAUACAAAGGUACAUCUAUGCAUUUAUAACCACAUAUUAGAAAGAACGAUGAAGAAGCGAAUUUCCACGAUGCUUUGGAUACCGAAGCCUUACUCGCCAACAGGUUGAUAAACCCAUUUCUUUCCUUCUCCAGAAUCAAUCCCAAAUUUAUGAAAUCGUCGUUCUUGGCUAUCAUCUCUUGGAUGAAACUCCAUAAUCGUCUAAUGCUAAUGAUGCUACUCAAUAUCUUCUCUUGCACCAAACCAUUGAUUCCCCAUAAGUAUGCUAUACCCGGAUCCCAUAUUCGUUGAUCAACACACCAUAUAACUCUUCGGGAUCGAGUAUCAAACAAUUCCACUGUUUGGAAUCUUUGAUAUCAGGCAUCAUAAAGGAACAAAAAAUCCUUCACGGAAAUAGCAAAUUUGUCAUGAGUAGAAUCAAUGCAUAGACACAAUCCGAUGACAAACCAUGAAUGAAACGCCUCCAUAAUCGGAGGAAACUGCCGGAAACGGAAUCGUUCCCACUUAUCAACAAAGGAGAUCCCAACCGAGACUCCAAAAACUAAUUGCUUAGAUAGAUGUAUAUUAUUCCUUUUUGGCUUCAGAAACUGCAUUGACAAAAACAGAAGAUGAUAAAUGAUGGUCUCCGAUGAAAGUUCGAUCGCAAAUUCCGUCACCAACAAAAGAAAGAGAAUAGAUCGGUUUAAAAUCUCUCUCAAAAGAACAACACCCAUCGUAGAUUAUUGUAGAAUAAUAAUAUGAAACUGAAAUUAAAAAAUAUACAGAGCCACCGGCAAAAGCCGGGGCCUAAAAGCGGUGAUGACGGUUUUGAUGUCUCCUUAUUGAUCGCCUAGUGGGGAGAGAAAGUUAAUUAUUGAACUUAAUAUUCUUUUAAUUUUAUAUCUUAUCAUAAAUUAUUAUUUAAUGAAUAAAUACUUUUUAUUUUUGAUUAAUUGCAUAUAUACAUACAUUUAUGUGUAUAUAUAUGUGUAUAUGUAUUGUUUGUUUGUAAAAAUUUAACGUCAUGUCCGAAAUGGCCAGGUCAAUGAAACUUGACCAUUUUAUUCGAAAGUCACAAAACUUUAGGAUUUAAAUGACAUUUCGAAAGUUCAUAUUUUUCGUCUACAAUUUGAAAAUUGGGGAUUUUUUUGACAUUUUUCCAAUAUAUUAAUCUAACAAUAAACCAACAAUUUAACAAACCAACAAAUCAAUCUCGGAUAACCCGUAAUCCUAACAUGUUCCUAAUCGAAUCAGCAAAGAGUUAAAUAACAUAAACCAACACCAUAUAAACUUGAGAUCCUAGAUCAUAUUCCUCUUUAUCGCCACGAUAUAACUAUCACACAUUAUCUUUACUUGCACCAUGCAUAAUGAGUUGUGUGAAUAUUAUCACAAAUUAUUCAGUAACAUGGUCCCCCAUCUGCUAGGUUAUACACUAACGAGAUAGAAAUCAAUGAUACUCAACAAACACCAAAACACAGGCAAACCAAACAUGAAACUGUCAACUCUCAGCCGGACCUAAUGUCGAUCGACACCCCUCCCAGUGUCGUACGAUAUCUACAUAGUGUUGAUCAACACUCAUCUCACAGAACCCUUAAAUCGCCUCUUGUCAUGCUAACCACAAACAAACCAAACACGAAAACAAGCCUAACACAACAAGGAAAACACACAAGCAGCCACAAAGACAAAUCCCAAAUUCACCUACACAAUCAAAAUAAGCAUCAGAACACUCCAUCAAGCUUAGAUCAGUGAUCAUACAAUCACCUCUGAUUUGGAUGUUAAAUGCUGAAGAAGACCAUCUGCUAACACACAACAACCUCACAGUAAUUCUGACAACUACUGAUCUCUUCGUUUUCCCUUUAACAACACCAAAACUAGCCAUUAUGCCCAUCUUAACCCUUCUCAAAACUCUCAUUUUCUCUUUCGAUAUCCAACAAGUCGAUCACUAUUUUUCUCUCUCUAGAAACGACAAAACACCAGUAAGGAAAAAAUAUAUCUCCAGUGUUUAGAAAAGACUUAGGGGGGUGUAUUCAAAGUUGAAUUUCAAGUGAUUUGUAAAAAAUUUACAAAUCAUGUGUUAUUCAAUCAAGAAUUUUAAAAAGUCUCAUGAAAUCCAAUGUUAUUGAACUAAUCAUUUUGAAAGGAUUUUACAUAAAUCAAAUGAAGUUCCCUAAAAUCAUCAAAAUUUCAAUAAAACUCAAAUCUCUUAAAAUGCUACUUUGAAUACAUCCCCCUUAGGGUUUUCGACGAUAUUUUUCAAAAAAAUUAUGUACCUUUUGCCGAGAUGCGUGUUUCAUUAGAAGUUUCCAACAAAAAAAGUCGACAAAUUUUGAUUUUGAUUUUGACGAAUUCCAGAUAAUGUAACAUUAUUUUGGAAAUACGACAAAAUUUAGUUAGAACUAUGUCAAAAGUUUCUGACAACUAUUAGCUUAUCUAACUGAGAUAACUAAUCAAUUAGUACAAUACAAACACCAAAAAAAAUCUAACUUACUUCAAGCUUCCAUACUCAAAAACUCAAAACAUAAACAUGUGAACCAAAACCAUCACCACAACACACCCAAUCAUAUUCAUCAAGCUAAAAAGAUCCAUUUUUCACUCUCAUCCAUGUAACCCAGAGUGAUUACUGCUUUCAAACUAUUUGCCAUAUCAAUUUCAAGCAACUUACUUUAUUCCCAAACAUCCCUCUCGUUUAGGCUUGCGUAUAUAUGUCCAGGCUAUUUUAUGGAAAUUCACAAAUACCUCUUAGCUCAAGUUAUUCACAUCAGUAAACUCUGACUUGUCCAUCAAUACCUUUGGAUGCAUAAUAUAAUGUUAUGAUUGUAUUCAAUAAAUCUUGACCAUUUAGUUUUGAGUUCUAACAUUGUUUGAUAUUUUUUUUAAUUAGUCAAUUUGGUUAUUUGAUUAUAGCUUAUUGUACAAGUCACAGUCAUAAUCUCAUUAAGCUCAUUGAUCGAGUCAUUCGCAAUCGCGCUUAUGCUCACUCGUUUUCAACAAACUCUCAGCGAGGGGAUACUUUCCGCAUUUGGUUUGCGUCGUGAUACUAAUCGUAUCCACCUUUUUCUGAUUUUAGCACAAACUAUCAACUCUUUUUUCAAUUUAAGGUUGCAUAUAUCGUAAGAACAAGUUUUUUUGGUUGAAUAUAAUUUUACAUUCAUUCAAAAACAAAGUCAUAUAGUCAUAAUCAUGUUUCUAAGGCUCACAUUCUCUUUAUUUGUAAUAUAGAAUUAAAUUUGAAAGAAAAUAGGAAUAAACAACAAUCUAUUCUAACAAUAAUUCAUCGGACACGUUUCUCUAACCAAGAAACACACAACAUAUUUCAGUUUGGGCUUCUAUAGUUGUAUAUCAUUGAGAGUGUUAUCUUUGGUCAUUCAUACUUUAAAUGGAAGAUUUGUAAAAUCAGAAUUUGACUAGUUUUGUUAGGAAAGUAAUCUCUUGAAUCGAUGAGUGAAGAACACCGGUUCCUUAGUCAAUGGGCUUUACUAUUGUACUUAUUUAUUUCCUAAAAACACCAAUUUAAUUCAGAAAUGGUAGAACACUCAUGACUCAUGAGAUAAUACACAUUAGAAAGAUAAAAUUUCAGGAAACAAAUUAUAUUAAAAAACUCAACUAAAACACAAUUACAUGUGAAUAUAGAAGAAGAGAUUUGAUACAAAGAAAUGAACAUUUAAAAUGAAAUACUAUGACUUAAAAAAAGAUAAAAACAAACUCCAUACAUAGCUGUGGUGGAUAUAUCAAACUAACAUGAAAAAAAAAACUAAAUAACGCAUAGAACUAUAAGAGAUACUCAAAGGGAUAGAGUCAAAUCAAUGUCAUUUUCCUCUUGUGGCUCAUCAUCAUCAAUCUCCACAACAUUGUUUCUUCCAAUCAGCGAGAUGAAGUCCCUUUCUCUCAAAACAUUCUCUUGAGGAACCACAUCUCUAGAAAGAUUGGUGGUUUGAGGAGGAGAAAAAGGGAAAACGUUUCUUGAAGUCAAUGGACAAUGCCUUUUUGGUAGGGGAGGAUUAGGGAACAUUGAAGCAAAACCAUUGGUACUCGAGUUUCCGGGGAAGAAACGAGUAGGAGUCACACGAGGAACCACGGCCAUGUUCAUAUCCGCGAUUCCUCCAGUGACUCCACCAUUGAAAGAUGGGUAAACUAGACGUUUAAAAGGAUCAAGAGUGAUACCAAGAUGGUUUUCAUUUGAUAAAGCAUCUUGUGAAUACCCACCUAAGAGAAGGUGAGGCUUAUCAAGAUAAGGGUUCAAGAAAGCGAGCCCGGGGAAGUCUGCUUCCAUCUCCUUCCUCUUCUUGUCCCAUUCCCUCUCUUGCUUGUGUGCGUUCUGGUGACCACCAAGGGCUUGAGAGGUGGAGAACCCUUUCUUGCAAAAAUGACAAGCGUAGACCUUGUUCGAUUUCGACGGGUAAAGCUUCAUGAUCUCUCUUCCUCUUCGGACAGGACCAGAUCCAAAACAAGGGUUCUCCAUCCUCUUCUCAGAGGUAACCUCCUCUUGAGGAGAACCAAGUUUCAGAUUGGUGUCCCUUGUUUCCCUCUCCUUGGACUCCUCCAUGACCACCAAAAUGCUCUUGAGCUUUUCUGGCUUGGGUGUGGAGGAGCUUGAAGAAGACGUAGCUUGGUUCUCCAUUACAAAUCUUUUUAUUCUUUCUUUAGACUUUAGAUUGAGACAAGUGAUCUUUAUCUCGUCUGUGUUAGAUUCAGAGAAAUGAGGAAGCUAUUUAUUGAGAAAGUAACCUUAAUGUUCGUGAACUAUUAUGGUAUAAUAUCUCCCUAGGGGCCAAAUUAAUUAAAAUCAGGAAGUACCAGACUUCAUAUCAAAAAGUUGUGUGGUUGUUUCUUUAACAAUGUUGAUUGUACUCCUUUUGACUAACCAAAUGAUAUUUUGUGUGAAAUAUGUAAAUAAUAUCUUAGCUGUAUUACCUGGUAUACAACUCUAAUUUGAAUCCAUUAAUUUGAAGUUAAUUUUUUAACAAUUGUAGCUUACUCUUAUCUUUGACUCUCACUUUUUAACAAUUGUAGUCCAACUAUCUUAUUACAGAAAUUAGCGCGCGAAGAUAGCCCGCGAAGAUUCAUUUAAAAAACCGUUAUAAACUACUAAAUUUUAUCUAAAAUCUCGUGUUUAAUUUUUGUGUGUUUAAAAAAUAUCUAAAUUCAUUGAAUUAUAAUAGAUAAUAAUUACUAAGCCAACUAGUCAAACUAGCAUCUUUCACUAGUAUGGAAGGAUGAUGUAUUCUUCACUAAUUGCAAAUACAAAAACAAAUUACAUUCUACUAAGGAAUACUAAACUUGGAAUGUGUUUCAUUAACAUUAAACUUAGACAGCUUGUGUGAUUGACUAGAGUUGUUUCUUCCUCAUUUCUUUAAUUAGUUUUUUGGUCUUAAUCUAAUUUUUCUUUCUCUUGGGGGAAAAAUACUCAAAAAGGAAACAUAAUGACAAAAAUGGUCUAUGAACUGUAAAUAAUAACAAUUUUAUUCCUUAUAAAUUUAUUUUCAAAUAUAUAUAGUCAGAAAAAUAAAGCUUGAAUACCUUUAGUGCCAAUUUUUACUUAAAUGAGACUACUCAAAUAUUUGGUAGAAAAUAUCCAAGAUAUACAUUCAUGAUUACUGACGUAUUACCACAUAAUAUGUAUUAUUAUUUUUUAAUCAGUUUUAAUAUUUUUCCAGAUUGUAAGUCUGUAAUUUAAAUACCAAAUGAUUUCUACUUAGGCUUACAUACGAAGAUGAAAAAAAAUAUAGUGGAGUAAUUAAUUAUUUCAAUGAUCAGUAAAUCUGUAUCUACUAGGAAGAGAUUUAUCGAAAAACACUAUUUGAGAGAUCUUAAGAGUACCUUAAUUUUAAGUGAAAAUAAAGCUUACCUUUAUGUCUAGAUAUUGUAAUUUGUGAGCCUUACUACUUACUUCAUUAAUCUAUUUUCUACUAAUUAUUAAUAAUACUUGUAAGAUUUUCUUAUAUAUAAUAUCUUCAUAUGUCUAGCAAUGCUUAUAUUUACCAAAUAUAUUGUUUUUAAGUUACUUUUGUGAAACUAUGACUUCACAUUUUAUAAAACUAUAACCAAAAAUCUAAAAUAUUUUUACAUAUGAAAGAUUUCAGACUACCAAAAAGUCAUGAUAGGUUGCACAUAACCAUAUAUUGUCGUAUUUAUCUUAAUAUUGCGUAUAGAGGGUACGCACUUGGUAUUGUCUCUAAAACAAAUCUUCUUGGAGCCAAACCAUCAUCAUAUUCCAAUUGAGCAAAGCCUGAACUAUAGCUUUGUAGAUAGAACCAUAGGCUUAUUAAAAUUAUUUAGCCGUUAUACAUACGACCUGGCCGCUCAUAUAUAUAUAUGAUACACAAUUUUGCAAAAUCCAUGUAAGAAUCGCUUAUAGAUGAUUGGUACGUAAGAUUUUACUUCCUUCAUACUCGAAUAUGCAACUAUAUAAAUGUGUGGCUCAUAUUGGGUUUUUCUCCAGUCACUUGGUUCGGUGCAUGGUCAGUAAUAAGGAUCACUCAACGUGGAAAUAGUAUAUAAGAUACUUUCCUAUGUUAAUCUUACCUCUAAGAUAUCCUUGUUGAAGAUGCCCUAAUAUCGUAGAAAACCAAGAGACAUGCUACUAUUAAUCCAUUCUCAACUAAAGAUGAUUAUCGAGCAAUGAGCGCAAUAUCCUCAAACUUGAUUUGGUUAAAGGUUAUAUACAUCAUAGUAAGUUAGAUGAGACACAUUAACCAUUGUUGGUUUGCAAAUAGUUAUGAAACUCACAUUGCAAAUAAUUUCUUACCAUUGAAAAGACCAAACAUAUAUCACACUAUACAUUAAAAGGAAAUGACCUCAAGAAAUAUUGUAAGACAUCAAUAUUUUCUAUUGUAAAUAAGUUUGGACUUCCUCUUCUCUAACACAACAAUAUUUAUUAAGACUAUCUCCCGUCUUUUUACCAAAAAAAAAAAAAAAAACAAUAUUUAUUAAGUGUGAUUCGGUUUCAUUUGGUUUCCUCUCUUUUGCAUUUCUAUCGUCAACAAGUUUUGUAUAAACUUGAGUGUGGUAUAUCACAAAAUAACUUUCAAAAUGUUAUCCAUAUUUAUAUUAUUUCAUGUCGAAUAAUUUUUUUUUUUUGACGUUAUCAAAUAACUUAUUAUUAUGGACUUUUUUUAAAUAAAAUAAUAGAAUCCUUUAUACUAUAAAGCACAAGUCACUUGUCCAAUAAAAUUUAGCCACAUCAGAUUUUAUUUUUAAAAAAAAUUAAAAAAAAAAUUCUCAAACAAACUAAAACACACGAUCAAUGAAAAAAAAACUAAUCCCUAAUUUUUCUCCCUCAAUCACAAGUUAUUUGGCAAUUAAUAAAAUUAAAAGAAUUAAUUUGGAAAACUAAAACAAAAAUAAAUUAGUAACAACCAAAAAAAAAAAAAACACGUUCUAAACAACUUCCUAAAUUUCAGAUUUUUACAACCUUUCUCAUACCUCCACGAUCACCAUUUAGGAGCAAUCUCGGAUAACCACCUCUGUUCUAUCAUUUAUAUUUCUGUGAUUCAUGUCAAUUGAUCCACACAAAAAAAAACGCAAGAUUUCUUCUCAAGCAGUCAAGCCCACAUAAAAAAAAAAAAAUCUUAUGUUGGCAUUGAACGUUUAUUCUCUAAGGUAAACUACUAAUUCAUUUCAUAUUUCUUGACUUUUAUAUUACUCAAUUCUUCUAAAUGUCACUCUAUUCUACUUCUUCUAUACUACGACACCUAUAUUUAACAUGCAAAUGUUUUCUUAGAUCAGAAAACUAAUUAAGGUUUAGUUCUUUUUCCAGAAUCUAAAUUAGAGAGGCAAAAGGAGUCAUGAUAAAACAUAUUAAGGUUUUUCUUUUUCUAUCUCUCAUAUUACCCUCUAAAAUCUCUGUUUUAUUCAUGUACCCUUUUUAUGUUUCAAGAAAUCCUCCAUGGCUAACAAAUGAUGAUCUUUAACUGAUGCAGGUUUUAAAAUUUGAUGGUAAGACUUUCAAAAGAUGACAAAGAACCCAACACUUCACCUAGGAAACAUUUCAUCAAGAAAAUUGCAUAAUAUGUAGAUGGAAUUAUAUGUAAGAAUGGCAUUCUACUACUUAAUUAGAUAAUUUGUAACCAUUGUAGUCUCGGUUAAACUGAUACGUUCAAAUGUUUUAAAUCGUUGUUUAAAAUAUUGCAACAAAAUAGUUUUAUAUUUUAAAUAUAUUAAUUCAAACUUAUGCUUAUAUAUCACAUAAAAUCACAGACAUUUGUUUAUUCAACCAACACACAGGAGAAUGAUACAAAUACAUUGAUGAUAUGUUGAAAAGAGCAGCAGUAAAAAAUAUAUUUUUGUAAAAUUAAACUAAAAGAUUUCUUUGCCUUAUAUUUCUUAAAUAACAUUUUGGGUUGAUUAUAAACUUAAAAGUUUUAGACCUUCAGUUUAUAUUUUAUGAUAAAAAUAGAAUAAUACUACAUUUAAUUUUAGGAAUAUUUCCUUAUUUAUAAAGUAUUCAAAAGAAAUAUAAUUUUACUAUAUAUUUUUAUUUAUUUUUAUAUGAAUUAUUUAAUUAAAAAGAUAAUUCCGUGCGUAUGCACGGGAUAAAUUCUAGUUUGAUUUAUAAAGAAGAAACAAACAUUUCAAAACAAAAUGCGGUUAAUUAAUUGGUUAUAUAAUAUGUACGUAGUCAAAACAUUUUUUGUAAUAUUUCUUUUAUACCCAAUCAUAUUUGAAAUUAUGUUAAGAUAUAUCCAUAUACAAUCACUUUAGUGCACCCAAUAUUAUAGAGAAAAUUAUACAAUUAUUAAUAAAUUAACAAAAUAGUUGAAAAUAUAAAUAGUACACUACCUUAUUUUAAAAGAUGCAUCAUAUACUUUCGAGUUAGUAUUUUUUUAAAAUUUGUCUCAAAAGAAAACCACAUAUCUGUAUGUGUCUCUAAUUCUUAAGCCAAACGAUCUUCCCGCCAAACCUCAUAAAACAAAGCAAACCAAAACUAUGAAACUCUCUUUAUCUAAUCAUAAACAAAACUAUUCUUGUAAAUAUUUCCAAAAUUAUGCAGAAUUCUCAAUCCUAAAGAGGCUACGUAAGCUUCAAAACAUCAAACAGCUCUUCCCAAAAAAAUAAAUAAAGGAGCUGUUCAAUUUAUAUUUUUCUUUUAUAAACCAAAAAAAAAACAAAAAAAAACAAAACUUAGAAAAACAAAAAACAGAAAAAAAAAAAAAAA